rnacentral:lncRNA from 1 species
CACACUCCUAUCCUCUUAUAUCUACUCAACAUUCAGGUAAACAUUCCUUAAUUCUAUGUGUUGUUCAUCUUGCAUUAUGAAAAGUGAUCUACGUACCCAUUGAUAUUUUUCUUCCUACUAAUUUGUAGGUUGGACCACUUGCCAGUAGGAGUAGCUGAUACGUCGCCAACGUAUCUAUAAUUUUUGAUUGUUCUAUGCUAUUAUAUUACCCAUUUUGGAUGUUUAUGGGCUUUACUUUGCACUUCUAUAUCAUUUUUGGGACUAACCUACUAACCGGUGGCCCAGCCCGUAUUGCUGUUUUUUCUGCCUAUUUCAGUGUUUCGAAGAAAAGGAAUAUCAAACGGAGUCCAAACGUAAUGAAACCUUUGGGAGCGAUCUUUUUGGAACAAAUGCAAUCCAGGAGACUUAGAGUGGACGUCAAGAAGCAGCCGAGGCGGCCACGAGGCAAGAGGGCGCGCCCUAGUGGGGUAGGCGUGCCCCCACCCUCGUGGGCCCCUCGUGGCUCCCCGACCUACCUCCUUCGCCUAUAUAUACCUCCAUACCCUAAAAACAUCCAAGAGCACCACGAAAAACUAUUUCCACCGCCGCAACCUUCUGUAUCCGCGAGAUCCCAUCUUGGAGCCUUCGUCGGUGCUCCGUCGGAGGGGGAAUCGACCAUGGAGGGCCUCUACAUCAUCUCCAAGGCCUCUUUGAUGAGUUGUGAGUAGUUUACCACAGACCUUCGGGUCCAUAGUUAUUAGCUAGAUGGCUUCUUCUCUCUCUUUGAAUCUCAAUACAAAGUUCUCCUUGAUUGUCGGGGGUUCGGUGCGACAUAUGCCAAGGGAUGGCUUAUCAUGGUGUGAGCAAGUAGAACGUCGCCGGUGCACGGAAGCGGGAUGAGGCGAAGGCAUGCACGCCGGCGGAUCUUACCCAGCUUUAGGGCUCUCCGAGGAGAUAACACCCCUACUGUUGCUCUGCGGGGUCUCCGCAUGAUCACUAUGGCAAAGUGAAUACAAGGGUGCUCCUAGAGCUGUUUCUGGAGGUAGGAGAGGGCAAGGCUAGCUCCCUCCUUCCUAUAUGAUCGGGUCUAAUGCUAAAGAAGCCCCCUCCCCCUUGCAUGGGUGCCCCGAGGGCUUAUAUAGGCCUGCCCCCCAGGGAUACAAUGGUAAUCUGGCAGGGCGCGGGUCCCAGCUGUUUGUCUCUCAGGCCGCCGUCUUCUCCGCCGAUUGCUGGGCCCUGCCGACUGGCGGGCCCCGCCGAUAGGCUUGGUACUGUAGCAGUGCUUCUGAUGACGCUGGCUUGGUCAUGGGGUCAUGGCAACAGUGCAGCCGUCUGGCGGACGAUCACUGUAGCCAUUCCCCGUCUUAUUUGGUUAAUGGCGUGCGGGGCCCGUGGGAGGGGCCGGCCGACUCCAGGGGGCCGACUCCCACGGGUCCGUCUUUGGAGUGUUCUCGCCGUCUUCUGUGCUCCCACUGACGGGCGGGUCCCGCCGUCUCUGGGUCGUACAGGUAGGCCGUCGUGGGUACAUUGCGCCGCCCACUGAGGCUGAGGUCAGGGCAGGCAUGGCAACAGUGCCGCGCCACGAUGGAGAUCUCCAGCGAUACGACGCACUAUAGCCAUGCCAGCCCCUCAUAAGCAGGGUAGAGACGGCCACGCUGUGACCGUACCCCGCCCCAUCCAUCGUGGCGAAGGCAGGAGAUGGUUGGAGUCGCGGGCCGACUCCCCUCAGCCGGCUUCUCUGGAAGUCGUCAGCUAAGAGUCGGCUUCCCUGGAAGUCGUCAACUAAGAGUCGGCUUAUCUCAAGGUCGUCCUUGGGAUGCGGCCGUGAGGGAUAGUCAGCGGCCUUGCCGCUGACUCUCAGAAGGCGGCUCCUUAUCGCAGAGUCUUGAGGGGCGCAGUCUGCCCCGAUGCUUUGAAAGGUUCUGGGGCUCGGGUUGGCCUACCCGUGGCCCAUUACUCCGACAGUAGUCCCCGAAGCUAGUGAGGCACCGAGGGAGAUGCGUCGGGGAGCCUCAACAGUUUCAUCUUUCUGGGGGUAGAAUCUCGGCCUUGCCCGCCGUCUUCCUCCAAGCCAACUAGCUGGAGUCGGAUUCGCAGAAAGUCGUCUUGCCUCUUAGUGAGUUUGAAUGUCGCAGCGGGUUCCAGGCAGCGUGCCUGAUAAGCUUCCGGGCAGCCGCCCGCUGCGGGUCCAUCGUGUGGCGCCACGCGGCAUGGUCAGUCUGCCAACCCAUGCACGUGAUGGGACAUGACCUCAAGCAGGGCCCGCCACUAUCGGGCCUCGGCAUCCGAACGAAUCCGUAGGGCCGUGCAAACGGUUGGUAUGCCCACGUUGUAACUGCGCAGUUACUUCGUGUGGUAAAUCGUGGGGGGCGUGGGGUCCCGCGCACAGUUAAUCCCGCGCCCGCCCCAUCUGCUUCUCAGCCCACGAGCCUAUAAGUAGGCGGGAGGAGUGUGGCAACGGAGCACGCGCGCCCAUUUCCCCUUGCUUUCUUCUUGCUUAUUCUUCCUCUUGCUGCCGCCGCACCGAACCACGCCACGCUCUCAGCGAUGAGCUCCUCCUCCACUUCCGCGCCUCUUGCUGUGUGCUCCGGCAUGUGGGACGGCUCUGAGGUGGACGACGACCAUAUCGAGUUCCUCCGCCGGACGCGCCGCCUCCCCGGCGCGGACCUAGUGCGAGCCCGCGCCGCGCCAGAGAGGGAAAUAUUGCCGGCGCCGGAGGAGGGCGAGCGGGUCGUAUUCCACUCGCACCUUAUGCGCGGCCUGGGGUUGCCAGCGAGCGUCUUCUUCCGCUCCUUCUUGGAGUUCCACGGGCUCCAGCCGCACCACCUCACCCCGAACACGGUGGUGCUGCUGGCUGCCUUCGCCACCCUGUGCGAAGGCUUCCUCGGUGUUCUCCCCACCAUCGAGCUGUGGGGGGAAUUCUUCCAGUCCCAGCUCGGCACACACGUCGCAGGCGUGCCGGCCCAGUGAGGCACUUUCAUCGUGAUGUGGAGAUCGACGGCCGACAACCCAUUUCCCACCAUCCCGCUGAUCAAGUCGGUGAAGAUGUGGCAGCGGUCGUAUUUCUACGUGAAGAACGUUGCCCCAAACGGCGACUGGGUCAAUCUGCCGCCUUAUGAAGCCGUCGCACCGGCUGGGAGGCUCCCCAGCUGGUCCCACCGAGUCAAGACGCUGACUCCCGCCGGAGCCGCCGCCGUCGCGCGACUCCGAGUUCUGACACAGUCGGAGGGUCUAACCGGGGCCGACCUGUUGGCCGCCUUCGUGGCGCGCUGAGUCCUCCCGCUCCAAGGCCGACCUCAUCUGAUCUGUCAGAUGAGCAACCACCGAGACCCGAGUCGGAUGUGCUCCAAAGACAUGCCCCACGUGAGGUGGCGGACACGGUGAAUUACAUCGCGAACUGCGGUCUCGCGGUGGAUUGGCAGUUCGGCAAGGAGCCGCACUCAUGCACCAACCCCCCGCCUGCGAUAAGUUAUCUCUCUUUUUCUUCUGUCUUCUUUUGUAGCCGAAUCCGACUUCUGAUCUUUUGGUUUUUUCUCGAGCCAGAACCCCCUUAUCCAGCCCUCAGCCGGCACCACGGGCCCGACCCGUCAGUUCGUCUCCGACCGGGCGGCGAGCAACGUCGACGACCCUGACUUGGGGGUGGCGGCGAUGGAGGCCGACGCCAAAGGAGGCGGAGGAGGAGGAGGAGGCUUCAGGCCGUCGGCCACCUUUGCCGACUGGCCUGAUGACGAUGCCGAGGGGAAAGUCAUCCCGCGCCGCCAGCCAAGAGUUGGCCAGCCGAGCACGGGUUCCUCAGCCGGCAUGGAUGGUCAAGGCGGCGCGAAGCGGCGCCGCGCCGGGCCGAGUUUUCUCGGCGGCCGGUCGAAGAAGUUUAAGGGGGCGGCCGCCGCGACCAAGCGGGAAGAGGCGAUCGCGAAGGCCAACCACUUCCGCAAGGAAGUGAAGAAGCCGCCGCUGGUCUCCGCGUAAGUGCUUCCAUCUUGUCUUGUCUUCUACUAGUGAAUUUGUCCAAAUCUUUUACACGCCCUUAUUGCUUCAGGGCUCCCCUCACCUUUGAGAGGGUCGCUGCCGCCUCCGUCAUGGGGUCGGCAGAGACGUCUGCCACUACUCGGCGGAUUGACCCCGCCGCCGACCUCCGGGAGGCGACAGAGCGGAACGCGCAGGAGAAGCGCGACAAGGACGAAGCCGCCCGCCUGGAGAAGGCGGAGGCCGAGAAGGCGGCAGCCUCCGCUCAGAGGAAGCUGGAUGAGGCCGAAGCCGCCGUUGCGGCAAGGCGGCAAGCAGAGGACGCCGUGCGCCGUCAAUCGGCGCUGCUUGUCGUUCCGCUGAACUCCGUGCCGCCGCCCCCGGAGUUCACGGGGCAGACUAGGGAAGCCGGCGGCGAGCACCCCAUCAUGGAGAAGGAAAGCGGCGAGGCCUCCAUGUCGGACACGGCCGUGCCACCACCGCCGCCUCCGCUGCCGUCUGGGAGCGUGCGAGGUAAAUAGCCGGCAGGCCCGCCAGUUCCGCCGACUGCGGACGAGUCUAAGGCGAGGCUGCUCCUCCAAGUCGCCUCGCCAGCGCGCCACCGCCUCGAGAAGGCGACUUCGGCGCCACGCCCGUUGGAGACCGGUGCCGCCAGCUCAGCCAUCCCAGACGCUGAGGCAACGAGUGUCGCGCCCAUUGGGUGGGUGCGAGGAGGCGGCACGGGUCCGUUGAACCAGGCGCUUCUGGAUGUUCAGGCGAAACUGCAAGCCGAGGUUGACGCCAUCUAGAACUGCACCAAGGCGCAUCUGGCGUCGCGAACAGCCGUCCGGGUAUGCUUUAUUUUGACUUUGUUUUUCCUUGCUUUCCUCUGUGGGGGCGCGCCAGCGCACCCACUGGGUGUAGUCCCCGAGUUUCGGGACGGCUGCUGAGCAGGCGGCUCGGAACUCCAUCUAGUGAGUUCCAAAUAUUUAUCUUUGUCUAAAAUUCUUAUUUCAGGAGUAUCACAACCUCCACGCCAUUGCCUUCAACCGCAAUGUCGAGGAGCUGGGCAGGCGGACUGCCGACUUGACGGAGAGCCGGAGUGAGUUCUUCUUCUUCGCGGGGGCGCGCUGGCGCACCCGCGAGCUGUAGUCCCCGAGAUUUGGGCCGACUGCUGAGCAGUCGGGCCGGAUCUUCCCGGCGACCUUCUUUGCUGAUGACUUAACGUCUCUUUCUUUUGUUCUUCAGGGGCCAACGCACUCUUCAGCAGCAGCUGGGCGAAGCCAACACCGCCUUGCGCUUCAAGGGGGAGGAGUGCAGCAAGCUUGCCGUGGAGCGCGACCUGCUGGCUGCACAGCUGGUCGAGCAGAGGGAGCUGCUCAAGAAGGCGCAGGACGAGGCCGCGAAGAGAGAGGCUACUCUCCUGGCCGAGUUCGAAAGCAAGCGCUCCUCCUGGACCGACAAGGAGGCACAUCCGACCUCCAGCUUCCAUGAGAUCGAGGACAUCGUUGACGGUGAGUUUCUUUUCUUCCUUUCUUUCUUUGAGCUUCCGACUAUGGGUCGGGCUAACUUCUGAUUUUUUGACUUGCUUCUUUUUUGUCUUGGCAGACUUCUUCCCUGGCCACUUGCAGGCAGUCACACAGGCCAUCGAAGCUGAUCGCCAGGCGCGGAGGGCGAAUGGUGAGGAGAUCGCCGCCAACGCCCCCCGAACCCUCGAUGAGCAGCUAAUGAGCAUCGAGGCCCGUCUUCGGCCGGCCCAUCGGUUGAUGGGCCGGCUUCAGUGUGUCGGCGCCCAGGCGGUUGCCGUUCUAUGGCCAGACAUACCGGUUCUGCGCACUGCCAGUCGGACUGCCGACUGGCUGGAGGUCGCAGCUGGCCGUCUUGAGGCUUGGAAGGGUUCCUCGGCCCGGGCUGGAGCGCGCCGGGCCUUGGAAUUUGUCAAGGCGUGGUAUCCAGGGCUGGACCUAGACCGACUGGCCGCGUUCCGGUCAGAGGCCCAGGUGGAGCUGGUAGCUGUGGAAGACGCCCUCGUCGCUCGUGCCGCGGCGAUCGCCGACUAUGCCGACACCAACAUCUUCGUCCCUGAUUGGGGUGAAGACGGCAGGGAGGUGCCGCCGGAGUGGUUCGGGAUGAACCCGGACUACGACGAGGACUCUGCUGUAUUUAUUAUUGCAACUUUUAUUUAUAAGUUGUAACUUAUGCGUGGUACCCCGAGUUUGCAUGGCGAGUAAAUUAUUUAGUUUCUAUUAAUGUGAGUAGUUCUGUUGCGGUUUGACUCUAUUAUAUUACUAUUGUUCUCUAGCGAAAAAUCCUGGAGUGAGAUUUUUUUUCCCUGAGUUGCUGCAUCGUAUAUCUUAUCACGACGUGGAUCAUUUUAUUUCACACAACACCAUGGCAGCAGACUCACAACCGCUCGAACUCAUUCACUGCUUGCAAAAACACGUAACCGUGGGGUAUUUGUUUUUUUUUCAAAACCGCUCUUAGCAAAUCUCGAGGACGAGAUUUUUUCUUAAGGGGGGUAGUGUUGUGACACCCCAAAAUUUUAAUCUUGUUUUACUAAUUAAAAUUUUUCCUAGAAACUAAAACUUUUAUUUUCUAUAUUUUCCUUCUGAUUUUAGGACCACUCUUUUCUUUAUUAUUAUGGAGUUUUACCCCCUAGUGAAAUCAUUUCAAUCAUUGUUGGACUUAAUUUUUUUCCCUCUCAAAUAAAACAAUUCUUUAUCAGUGGGAUUAUUUGCAUAAUUAUUUUCCCUGAUGCCUUAUUUCUGUAAAAAUGAUUUUUCUAAGCUUCAAGGCCUCUUUUACACUGCAACCCUUUGAUAAAUUCAGUUAAAAAUUCCACCAACAAUUGGAGAUGUCAUGUGAUGUUUUUAAAACAAUUUUAUGCAAAAAUAUAUUUCAUUCCUUGGAUAUUUUGAGUUCUACACAUGAUUUUCAAAUCUGGUCCAGUGGGCAGUUUUACACUACAACCUAUUUAAAUAUUUCUUUAAAACUUCCACCAAAAUUUUGGGAUGUCUAUAUGAGUAUGUUAAUUAUCUUUUUGCAAAAACCCAAUGAUGUCCUUUGAAAAAUUUGAGUGAAUCAACAUAUUUUCCAUUCUGGUCCAACUUGAUGAUUUGUACAACAACUAUAUUUUAAGUUGCUCCUUUAUCCAUGAUUUCUUUUCCUACUUGUAGUCCUCCCUGCUAAAUCCUUAAGUCCAGAAGAGUGGACCCAUUGGAGGAUGUUUAGUGCAUGCAACCAUGCCCUCUUCUUUCUGUCCAAAACUGAUGUUUUGCAAAACUUGCACUAGCAAGUUUGUGCUUUGGACAAACUAACCUCACCACCCUCUCUUUUAGCUAAAGAGACCCCACUCUGGAAGUUUUGGCCACCCCAAGAGAUGCCUAGGUGCAUGUGGCAUUCUGUCGAGCACCCUGUAGGCAUGACCAGUUUUGACAUGAGUCUUAGCUUGCACUGUGAUCUUGCUUCCCUUGCCUAGCUACCUUGUCCAAUAGACUCCUAGCUACCCAUAACCUAGGUCUGCUAAUUCCCAGCCUCACCCGAGACCUCUAACACGCCUUGACAUUUUGUCGAGCACGUCCCGUGCAUGCUCUGGGCGCGAGCAGAGCGCGCGUUUUGCACGUGCCGCGACCGAGCCGCCACGUCGCGCCCCUGGUUUUGCCCACGCCACAGCGCCGCGCCAUGCACUCCCCUUCUCACCAGAACGCGCCAAGCAGCCUUGGUGCCCUGCAGCACCGCCGUCAGAGCCCUUGGCGGCACGCCGGCGUCCGCAGCACGCGUCUGCCAGGUCGGUGUCGCCCAGGCCUAUCCCGCUCGCCACCUGCCCCUGGAACAACUCAUCCUCAUCCUCUCGAGUGUCCUCUAGCUCUCGUCGUCGCCACGACGCCCUGGCGCUACAGGGAGGUGGUUCACCGACGAACUUAUCCGGUCGCCGCUAACCGACCUCGUUGCGGUAUAUAAGGAGGCCCCGAACCCAUUCGAGCAGGGAGGCAACCUCAGGCCACCUUCACGGCACCCCCACAGCCUGCAAUCGUCGGAGGGAGGCCUUCUUCCCCAUCUCCGGCAACCACAGCCGCCGCCACUGCCCCGCCCAUUCCGGCACCACUAGAGCCUCCCCCUCUCCACUCUCUUCACCAGAAACUCCCUCUCCCCCUCGUGAAUCCACCCCCCUGCUCGAUUUUGAUCGAGACUCAUUGCGGGAGAAAAAUCACUUUGCCCGACGACCACUGUCCGCCGCGAAGCUCACCGCCGGCAGCUCCGUCCACCCCAGAGACCAUAUCAACCACCGGAGUGACCAUCUUGAUCCCCUGAGCACGUGGAUGGCCUCCGUUCUCCGAACGGUGCCGUCAUUCGCCGGCGAGCCUCGCCGGAGCUCCACCUCUGUUUCGGCCGGAGGAGGCGACGCGCGCGUGGACUGGUCAAACCUAACCAGUGGGCCAGGCGGUCCACUGUCAGCAACCCAGUGCCGAUCCACGCGGGCAUAAGUGGAAACAUAUUUUUAGAAUACGCCUUCGACGUGGUCAGUCCGAAUCAUUUUUCUUUUUUUGUUUUAUUUUCUUUUUAAAAACAGAUUUUGACCACAACUUUGACUACCUGUAACUUUUUAAUGACAACUCCAAAUGAAUUGAUUCUUUUCCCUACCUCUCUCAAAUUUAAUCUAGUUUAUUUUAAGAUUUAUUUGAAAAAAUUUCAAAACAAAUUUUUGUGCUGUUUUUGAAUUUGUGUGUUAAUUCAAAUUUAUUUAAAAUAGGACUUUGGAGAGAGAGAAGAAAACUUUCAAAAGUUUUGGAGUGCACGCUGCCUUUCCACACAAUGAAGGCAAGCAUUCUGAACCCUGGCAUAGUAUUUUUUGCAUGCAUUGUUUGACACGAUCAUGACACCACCUCAAUACAUGGAACUCGUUAUUUUAUGUGGUCAUGUGAUCGUCUGCAUGAAUGUUUAUUGAAAAUGUCCUUGCUGUUGGAAAUGGAUAUGCUUGUAAUGAUGAUCAUCCUCAUAUGCCUUUCGUGCCUACCGGAAGGAAAACGGGAAAGUCUCUGUCUUGGGUAGACCCGAGCUUAUCCCAAGUUCCUCGUCGAGACGAGUGUGUCCGGCAUGGCAUGAGGGGUAUGAUGAGUGGUGAUUCUAUCUGUUGGAUGAAAUACAUUCAUUAUGCUAAUCAUGCAGGGAAAUUAUAAACCUCCUGAGUCGACCAUAGAUCGAGUCUUGUUCCAGUAACCCCCACACUUGUUUCGUGCUACCACUUGUCCCUACCACAGGCAGGGUACGGUUCAGUAAAUUGUCAACCCCUUUCUAGCACACACCAUACAGAGGGGCCGGGAUGAGGGUACCAAGGCCAUGGAUUAAAGCCAGUCAUCCGGUCAGGGGGCAUAGGUGUUUCGGUUGUAGCCGAGGGGGUAGCUUCCCCAGUUUUGCGCGCGGUAUAAAUUUUAUGAUCCCAUGCUACUCGAGGUUGUAGCCUCCCCACUUAGAGUUUUGCUUAACGAGUGUCGUGGGUGAUUCCAGACACCGGUAAGUUAAGCUGGUGUGUGCAAGUCAGGUACGUUUUCAAUUAAAAGACCGUAGACGGAAUUAGUCCCGAUGGACUAAAGGAAUCCGUUGCUCGCGAGUAAAGAGUGCACCCUCUGUAGAGAUUAAACCUAUUCGAAUAGCCGCGUCCAUGGUUAAGGACUACAGUCUGGGUGGGUCAAGUGUCGGUCUUCGGAGGAGAACUACUAAACCAGAACCCGGAUCAUGACUGAUGACUUGUGAUAAAUAUGUUUACGUUUAUUGCGGACUAACCCAUUCUAUUAUCUGAAUUAUUGGGUAUCCCUGGGACGGUUCUACCACCUGGAGACUCAUUGUGAUUAUUUAUUUAUAAGCCCUUUAUGUGGUGUCGCUGAGACGCCCGACAGUGGCAUUGCUUGUCAUUUAUUUAUAAGCCCUUUAUAUGGUGUCGCUGAGACGCCCGACUGUGGCAUUGCUUGUCUUUUAUUUAAAAGCCCUUUAUGUGGUGUCGCUGAGACGCCCGACUGUGGCAUGCUUGUUAUUCAUUUACUUUAUAAGCCCUUUAUAUGGUGUCGCUGAGACGCCCGACUGUGGCAUGCUUGUUAUUUAUUUACUUUAUAAGCCCUUUAUGUCGUGUCGCUGAGACGCCCGACUGUGGCAUGCUUGUUAUUUAUUUACUUUAUAAGACCUUUAUGUGGUGUCGCUAAGACGCCCGACUGUGGCAUGCUUGUUAUUUAUUUACUUUAUAAGCCCUUUAUGUGGUGUCGCACAGACGCCCGACUGCGGCAUUUUAUUUCCACUCCAUUAUUGCUCAUUCAUGUUAUAUUUAAAUAACCGGUUUGCAUGCAUAAAAGAUCUUUAUUUAUGACUGACGAUGUGAUUAUAGAACAUUUCAGUGCAUGAUUAUCAUUUAUAUUAUACCCGUGUUCAUAAUGUUUGCGAGUACAUUCAAAGUACUCACUGGCUUGUCCCUGGCUAUUGUCUUGGCCAGAUUUCUUGCACGGAGAGGAGCGACGUGAUGACAGCCCCGGAACCUAAGCAAUGGUGAUAGCAGCCUCGUGAAGAUAGGAGUUAUCCUGGUCAGCUGUUCCUGUGGGAAAUGGAGUCCCAUAGACGUUGAUGAUUUUAGACCGCUUCCGCCAUCAACCACUAGAACCAUUUGUUGUACUCACAGGCCAAAAUGGUCUUGUACUACAUAUGUUGUAUUUUGCUUGGAAUUUCUGUAUCAAGUUGGUGCCUCAUUAGCUAACAGUAAUCCUGGGGCUGGUGAGCAAAACGGCCAUUUUCUGGAAAUUAAUACCCAGAAAACUGGUCGCCACAAACUUGGUAUCAGAGCCAGGCUAACCAUUGGCUAAUCCUAUCUUAGCCAGGUCGAAAAACUUAGGCAAACCAACCCACCAGACCUUAACCAAACCCCAGCCAAGCUUCUCGUUCAAGAUAGCCACACAGUGACCCCGACACUUUUGGCAGUCGGUGCCCAACCUAUGAACCUAGCCUUUCUAUCACGCACCAGUGACCAGCACCCAAGAUGUCUCAUUCGAAAGCGUGCGAAGGAAGACUCCGUCCCCUUUUCCUAUAAAAAGGGCACGCUAGCCCCAACCCAGCGCAGCACAGCCUCUACCCCAAACCGAGCCACAAUGCCUGGCCCCGUCGUGCACAAUGAGACCACAACAACCAACCUUGGAGGCUUUGUGACCAUACUCGCAAACCUCACCCGUCGUGCCUAUGCGUUAGAAGAGCCUCCAGAAUAUGUGGUGUACCAAGGACCCAUGAGCGGUGAGAGCCGUCAAUUCUGGGCCACUGUACACGUCUACGGUUGGGGUCUAGCGCCCGAGCGCCCCUACAUGGUUCACCGGAAGGACAACUUCCUUUGAGCCACAAGCCGUCCAACUAGCUGCUCGAGAGGCUAUAGUUCAUCUCCGGUACUUGUCGCCCAGAAUUAACUGUCGCUCGUUCUACUACUAUCCCAGACGUGAAGGGUAUGGUAGACCACCCCAAGUUGCCAACGGAGAUCAUGAGACGGAUCCUGCAUUGUUGCACCUAGUGUGCUAUGUAGGUGCAUUAGAGGAACUGUUCAAUCAAAUCACCAUUGAUUUGAUCGCAACUCGUGGAGAGCUGGUUCGCCAAGCCCUGGCAAGCAGGGAAGGAGAGCUGGUUCGCCACGCCACCGGACCGCGCCUAGGCGGCUAGGCCCAGUUGGAGCCGGCGAGCAGCCCACAACACGAUCCAUCUCACGCUGGUAGGCUUCUGACAAGUGUCUCAUGCUUUCCAGCUUCUUCGUGCCCUCGACGAGCUGAAGGCGGCGCACCUCCAGCGUCCCGGCGUCAGCGUCUCCCGAAAUGGGCGUGGUCAGGUCUUGCAGGGCCGCGUCGAGUGGAUCAUGAGCUCCUUCGCCGGAAUGCUCGCCGUGAUCGAGGAUGAGGACCUCCGUGACAGUGCUUCCGCUGCUCACUGUGCGAGGGAGCGGCUCGUCGUAGACCACCACAUUAGUGGGGAACGCGUCGAGCAACGCGGUGUCGGAGUCGACCAGCAUCGGGUCAGUGGAUCCUAUGGACUCCAGGUCCACGGCAGGCUCGCCGGCAACAUGGAGUUGGUCGAGGAGACCCAAGAGGAGGCUCUCGGGGCCGUUCGUGCCUGCGUCGGAUGCAGGAUCAUUGGAGAGGCGAACCUCGCCAAUGAGUUUGGCGAGGCAGCUGGCCGCGCAGGCGAUCUCAGCACCAUGCAGCAUGUCGGCGCGGACUCCGUCUGGCGUGCCGGGCUGGCUGUGCUCGCCAGGGAGGAAAAGGGUUCCCGUCUAGAGCAGGUCUCCGGACGACGGUGCACCUCGCCCCACGGUGGGUGCCAAAUGUCGGGGGUUGGGUGCGACAUAUGCCAAGGGAUGGCUUAUCAUGGUGGGAGCGAGUAGAACGUCGCCGGUGCCUGGAAGCGGGAUGAGGCGAAGGCAUGCAUGCCGGCGGAUCUUACCCAGCUUCAGGGCUCUCCGAGGAGAUAACACACCUACUGCUGCUCUGCGGGGUCUCCGCAUGAUCACUAUGGCAAAGUGAACACAAGGGUGCUCCUAGAGCUGUUUCUGGAGGUAGGAGAGGGCAAGACUAGCUCCCUCCUUCCUUUAUGAUCGGGUCUAAUGCUAAAGAAGCCCCCUCCCCCUUGCAUGGGUGUCCCGGGGGCUUAUAUAGGCCUGCCCCCAGGGAUACAAUGGUAAUCAGGCUGGGCGCGGGUCCCAGCUAUCUGUCUCUCAGGCCGCCGUCUUCUCCGCCGAUUGCUGGGGCCCGCUGACUGGCGGGCCCCGCCGACAGGCCUGGUACUGUAGCAGUGCUUCUGAUGACGCUGGCUUGGUCAUGGGGUCAUGGCAACAGUGUCGCCGUCUGGCGGACGAUCACUGUCGCCAUUCCUCGUCUUGUCUGGUUAAUGGCGUGCGGGGCCCGUGGGAGGGGCCGGCCGACUCCAGGGGGCCGACUCCCACGGGUCCGUCUUCGGGGUGUUCUCGCCGUCUUCUGUGCUCCCGCUGACGGGCGGGUCCCGCCGUCUCUGGGUCGUACAGGUAGGCCGUUGUGGGCACAGUGCGCUGCCCACUGAGGCUGAGGUCAGGGCAGGCAUGGCAACAGUGUCGCGCCACGAUGGAGAUCUCCAGCGAUACGGCGCACUGUAGCGAUGCCAGCCCCUCGUAAGCAGGGUAGAGACGGCCACGCUGUGACCGUACCCCUCCCCGUCCAUCAUGGCGAAGGCAGGAGAUGGUUGGAGUCGCGGGUCGACUCCCCUCAGCCGGCUUCUCUGGAAGUCAUCAGCUAAGAGUCGGCUUCCCUGGAAGUCGUCAACUAAGAGUCGGCUUAUCUCAAGGUUGUCCUUGGGACGCGGCCGUGAGGGAUAGUCGGCGGCCUUGCCGCUGACUCUUAGAAGGCGGCUCCUUAUCGCAGAGUCUUGAGGGGCGCAGUCUGCCCCGAUGCUUUGAAAGGUUCUGGGGCUCGGGUUGGCCUACCCGUGGCCCAUUACUCCGACAUCGAUCUUCUUGGAGAUCUAUUCUAUGUAACUCUUUUUGCGGUGUGCUUGUCGAGAUCCGAUGAAUUGUGGGUUUAUGAUCAAGUUUAUCUAUGAGAAAUAUUUGAAUCUCCUCUGAAUUCUUUUAUGUAUGAUUGGUUAUCUUUGCAAGUCUCUUCGAAUGAUCAGUUUGGUUUGGCCUACUAGAUUGAUCUUUCUUCCAAUGGGAGAAGUGCUUAGCUUUGGGUUCAAUCUUGCGGUGUCCUUUCCCAGUGACAACAGGGGCAGCAAGGCACAUAUUGUAUUGUUGCCAUCGAGGAUAAAAAGAUGGGGUUUAUAUCAUAUUGCAUGAGUUUAUCCCACUACAUCAUGUCAUCUUUCUUAAUGAGUUACUCUAUUCUUCAUGAACUUAAUACUCUGGAUGCAGGCAGGAGUCGGUAAAUGUGUGGAGUAAUAGUAGUAGAUGUAGAAUCGUUUCGAUCUACUUGUCACGGACGUGAUGCCUAUAUACAUGAUCAUGCCUAGAUAUUCUCAUAACUAUGCAGUUUUCUUUCAAUUGCUCGACAAUAAUUUGUUCACCCACCGUAAUACUUUUGCUAUCUUGAGAGAAGCAACUAGUGAAACCUAUGGCCGCCGGGUCUAUCCUUUAUCAUAUAAGUUUCCCAUCUAAUUUUAUUUGCAUCUUUACUUUCCAAUCUAUAGCAUAAAAAUACCAAAAAUAUUUAUCUUAUCUUAUUAUCUCUAUCAGGUCUCACUUUCGUGAAGGGAUUGACAACCCCUUUAUUGCAUUGGUUGCAAGGUUCUUGUUUGUUUGUGUAGGUACAAGGGACUUUUGAGGAUCCUCCUACUGGAUUGAUACCUUGGUUGUCAAAAACUGAGUCAAAUACUUACGCUACUUUGCUGCAUCACCCUUUCCUCUUCAAGGGAAAACCAACGCAGUGCUCAAGAGGUAGCAAGAAGGACUUCUGGCACCGUUGCCGGGGAGGUCUUCGCUCAAGUCAAGACAUACCAAGUACCCAUCACAAACCCAUCUCCCUCGCAUUACAUUAUUUUCCAUUUGCCUCUCGUUUUCCUCUCCUCCACUUCACCCUUGCCGUAUUCUUUGCCCCUCUUCCAUUCGAUCUUUUGUUUGCUUGUGUAUCCAUGUGCCUUCUAUGUGCUUGCACCUUUGCUUGCUAAAAAUCUAUCGGUAUGGAUCCAAUUAAAGUGUUCUACUUGGAUAAUCUUCGAUCCUUAUGUGCUCGUGCUAAAACACCAACUAGCCUAGUUGAUGGGAAAUCUUUAGAUGAGCAUGCUCAUUUUGUGCGUCACCAUUUGUCUGGAAAAGGGAGACUCUUAUGGGAUCAAAUAAACAGAUUGUUGUGUUAUGUUUGGAAUCUUUGUGAAAUUUAUGAUUUUACUUGUUGCUCUAAGAACCCUAAAGAAACACCUCCCCUACCUAUGUGAGUUUAAUUAAAAUGAAAUCUUAUCUUCUUAUGCAAAGGGUGUUUAUAGUUACUAUGAUAUCAAACAAACUGAAGAAUUUGUUUCUUUUAAGGGUGCUUAUGAAGUUGCUUCUUUGAUUGAAAAGUAUGAUAUUACUCUCUACGAAUCUGAAAAUUUUGACAUACUUAAAUAUUGCUAUGAAAACUAUGCUCAUAAUAUCUAUAUCAAACAAUUUAUUGAGAGAAUGACUGUUGCUUUGGAAGAAAAUAAUGAUAUGCAUGAGUCUAUAGAUAAUGAUUCCGCUGAUUUGAUUGAAACAUCCCUUGAGGAAGAUGAUGCUUGCUAUUCUUGUGGCCAUGAUGCCAAUAUUUAUGAAGAUGAAUUUGCUAUAGUUCCCUAUGUUAAACAUGAGAUCGUUGCUAUUGCACCCAUACUUGGUAGUUCCUUCAAUGAAAAGUAUGAUUGCAAUGAUGUUACUAUAAAUUCUCUUGAUGUCAAUUGUGCUAAUAAUAUGCAAAAACCUAAGCUUGGGGAUGCUAGUUUUGCUAUGUCUACUACUUGUUGCAAUGAUCAUGAUUGGGGUGAUUCUUCUUUUGAUCUUGAAAAUUUAUUUAACCCCCAUGAUGAAUAUGAGAUUGAUAAUAGUGUUUGCAAUAUUAUUGAAAGUGGGUUUGGAAGAGUGUCAACUUUAGAUCCCACAUAUUUGGAUUUUGAUCAAUCUUAUGAAAAUUUUGAUAAAAGUGGGCUUGGAGAGGUCAUGACUUUAGUUAAUGUUAAUCCCACUAUCUUGGAAGAGUGUCAACUUUGCAUGCAUGUGGAUUGUGUUGAGAAUAUGUUAUGUGAUAGCUAUUUUCUUAAUUUGCUUAUGAUCCUACAUGUCAUUAUUAUGAGAGAGGAAAAUUUGGUUGUAGAAAUUUUCAUGUUACUAAAUUACCUCUCUUCAUGUUGAGAUUGCUAUCGUCUCUUUCUUUUUCCUUGCAUAUGCUAGUUUUUGCUUGCUUUGAUAAUUUGUUUGCUUAUAAAAUGCCUAUACAUAGGAAGUAUGUUAGACUUAGACGUGUUUGUCACGUGUUUCAUGAUGCUCUCUUUGCGCUUCAAUUCUUGUUUUUCAUGUGAGCAUCAUUGAAUUUAUCAAUGCCUAGCUAGGGGCGUUAAACGAUAGCGCUUGUUGGGAGGCAACCCAAUUUGAUUUUUGUUCCUUGCUUUUUUAUUCUGUUUAGUAAUAAAUAAUUCAUAUAGCCUCUGCUUAGAUGUGGUUUUAUGUUUUAGUUAGUGUUUGUGCCAAGUAGAACCUAUAGGAUCAUCUUGGGUGAUAGUUAAUUUGAUUCUGCUGAAAAACAGAAACUUUUGCACGCACGAGAAUAAUUUUAAUAAAUCACAGAAACGUGAUUUUUAGUUGAUUGUUUUUUCAGUAGAUCAAUAGACAAAUUGCCUAGGACUUACUAUUUUGGUAGGAUUUUUAGAGUUCCAUAAGUACUCUAAAGUUACAGAUUGCUACAGACUGUUCUAUUUUUGAUAGAUUCUGUUUUUCGUGUGUUGUUUGCUUAUUUUGAUGCAUCUAUGGCUAGUAUCGGGGGGUAUGAACCAUAGAGAAGUUGUAAUACAGUAGGUUUAACACCAAUAUAAAUAAAGAAUGAGUUCAUUACAGUACCUUAUGUGCUGGUUUUUCUUUCUAGCACUAACGGAGCUCAUGAGAUUUCCUGUUGAGUUUUGUGUUGUGAGGUUUUCAAGUUUUGGGUAAAGAUUUGAUGGACUAUGGAAUAAGGAGUGGAAAGAGCCUAAGCUUGGAAUGCCCAUGGCACCCCAAGAUAAUCCAAGGACAACCAAAAGCCUAAGCUCGAGGAUGCCCCGGAAGGCAUCCCCUCUUUUGUCUUCGUCUAUCAGUAACUUUACUUGGAGCUAUAUUUUUAUUCACCAAGUGAUAUGUGUUUUACUUGGAGCGUCUUGUAUGAUAUGAGUAUUUGCUUUUUAGUUUACCACAAUCAUCCUUGCUGUACACACCUUUUGGGAGAGACACACAUGAUUUAGAAUUUAUUAGAAUACUCUAUGUGCUUCACUUAUAUCUUUUGAGCUAGAUAAUUUUGCUCUAGUGCUUCACUUAUAUCUUUUUAGAGCACGGCGAUGGCUUAAUUUUGUAGAAAUUAUUAAUCUAUCAUGCUUCACUUAUAUUAUUUUGAGAGUAUUUUAGAACAUCAUGGUAUUUGCUAUGGUUAUAAAAUUGGUCCUAGAAUGAUGGGCAUCCAAGUUGGGUAUAAUAAAAACUAUCAUAGGAAGUGAAUUGGAUGCUAUGAUCAAUUUGAUGCUUGAUAAUUGUUUUGAGAUAUGAUGAUGGUAAUAUUAGAGUCAUGCUAGUUGGGUAAUUGUGAAUUUAAGGAAUACUUGUGUUGAAUUUUGUGAUUCCCGUAGCAUGCACGUAUGGUGAACCGUUAUGUGAUGAAGUUGGAGCAUGAUUUAUUUAUUGAUUGUCUUCCUUAUGAGUGGCGGUCGGGGACGAGCGAUGGUCUUUUCCUACCAAUCUAUCCCCCUAGGAGCAUGCACAUAAUACUUUGUUUUGAUGACUUGUAGAUUUUUGCAAUAAGUAUAUGAGUUCUUUAUGACUAAUGUUGAGUCCAUGGAUAAUACGCACUCUCACCCUUCCACCAUUGCUAGCCUCUCUUGUGCCGCGCAACUUUCGCCGGUACCAUACACCCACCAUAUACCUUCCUCAAAACAUUCACCAUACCUACCUAUUAUGGCAUUUCCAUAGCCAUUCUGAGAUAUAUUGCCAUGCAACUUUCCACCAUUCCAUUUACUAUGACAUGCUCCAUCAUUGUCAUAUUGCCUUUUGCAUGAUCAUGUAGUUGACACCAUAUUUGUGGCAAGGCCACCUUCAUAAUUUUUCAUACAUGUCACUCUUGAUUCAUUGCAUAUCCCGGUACACCGCCAGAGGCAUUCAUAUGGAGUCAUAUUUUGUUCCAAGUAUUGAGUUGUAAAUCAAUAAAAGUGUGUUGAUCUUCACUAUUAGAGCAUUGUCCCAAGUGAGGAAAGGAUGGUGGAGACUAUGAUUCCCCCAUAAGUCGGGAUGAGACUUCGGACUUUACAAAAAAGAAAAGAGGCCAAAGAAGCCCAAAUAAAAAAAAGAGGCCAAAGAAGCCCACCAAAAUAAAAAAAAAUAAAAAAUGAGGGGAAAAGAGAGAAGGGACAAUGUUACUAUCCUUUUUCCACACUUGUGCUUCAAAGUAGCACCAUGAUCUUCAUGAUAGAGAGUCUCCUAUGUUGUCACUUUCAUAUACUAGUGGGAAUUUUUCAUUAAAGAACUUGGCUUGUAUAUUCCAAUGACGGGCUUCCUAAAAAUGCCCUAGGUCUUCGUGAGCAAGCAAGUUGGAUGCACACCCACUUAGUUUCUUUUGUUGAGCUUUCAUACAUUUAUAGCUCUAGUGCAUCCAUUCCAUGGCAAUCCCUACUCACUCACAUUGAUAUAUAUUAAUGGGCAUCUCCAUAUCCCGUUGAUACGCCUAGUUGAUGUGACACUAUCUUCUCCCUUUUUGUCUUCUCCACAACCACCACUCUAUUCCACAUAUAGUGCUAUUUCCAUGGCUCACGCUCAUGUAUUGCGUGAAGAUUGAAAAAGUUUGAAAAUACUAAAGUAUGAAACAAUUGCUUGGCUUGUCAUCGGGGUUGUGCAUGAUUUAAUACUUUGUGUGAUGAAGAUAGAGCAUAACCAGACUAUAUGAUUUUGUAGGGAUAACUUUCUUUAGCCAUGUUAUUUUGAGAAGACAUGAUUGCUUAGUUAGUAUGCUUGAAGUAUUAUUGUUUUUAUGUCAAUAUGAACUUUCGUCUUGAAUUAUUUUGAUCUGAACAUUCAUGCCACAAUAAAGAAAAUUACAUUGAAUUAUGCUAGGUAGCAUUCCACAUCAAAAAUUCUAUUUUUAUCAUUUACCUACUCGAGGACGAGCAGGAAUUAAGCUUGGGGAUGCUUGAUACGUCUCCAAGGUAUCUAUAAUUUUUGAUUGUUCCAUGCUACUAUAUUACCCGUUUUGGAUGUUUAUGGGCUUUACUUUACACUUUUAUAUCAAUUUUGGGACUAACCUACUAACCGGAGGCCCAGCCUGUAUUGCUGUUUUUUUGCCUAUUUCAGUGUUUUGAAGAAAAGGAAUAUCAAACGGAGUCCAAACGGAAUGAAACCUUCGGGAGCAAUCUUUUUGGAACAAACACAAUCCAGGAGACCUGGAGUGGAUGUCAAGAAGCAGCCGAGGCGGCCACGAGGCAGGAGGGCACGCCCUAGGGGGUACGCGCGCCCCUACCCUCGUGGGCCCCUCGUGGCUCCCCUGACCUUCCUCCUUUGCCUAUAUAUACCUUCAUACCCUGAAAACAUCCAGGAGCACCCCGAAAAACUAUUUCCACCGCCACAACCUUCUGUAUCCGCGAGAUCCCAUUUUGGAGCCAUCGCCGGUGCUCCACCGGAGGGGGAAUCGACCAUGGAGGGCCUCUACAUCAUCUCCAAGGCCUCUCCGAUGAGUCGUGAGUAGUUUACCACAGACCUUCGGGGUCCAUAGUUAUUAGCUAGAUGGCUUCUUCUCUCUCUUUGAAUCUCAAUACAAAGUUCUUCUCGAUCUUCUUGGAGAUCUAUUCAAUGUAAUUUUUGAUUGUUCCAUGCUACUAUAUUACCCGUUUUGGAUGUUUAUGGGCUUUACUUUACACUUUUAUAUCAAUUUUGGGACUAACCUACUAACCGGAGGCCCAGCCUGUAUUGCUGUUUUUUUGCCUAUUUCAGUGUUUUGAAGAAAAGGAAUAUCAAACGGAGUCCAAACGGAAUGAAACCUUCGGGAGCAAUCUUUUUGGAACAAACACAAUCCAGGAGACCUGGAGUGGAUGUCAAGAAGCAGCCGAGGCGGCCACGAGGCAGGAGGGCACGCCCUAGGGGGUACGCGCGCCCCUACCCUCGUGGGCCCCUCGUGGCUCCCCUGACCUUCCUCCUUUGCCUAUAUAUACCUUCAUACCCUGAAAACAUCCAGGAGCACCCCGAAAAACUAUUUCCACCGCCACAACCUUCUGUAUCCGCGAGAUCCCAUUUUGGAGCCAUCGCCGGUGCUCCACCGGAGGGGGAAUCGACCAUGGAGGGCCUCUACAUCAUCUCCAAGGCCUCUCCGAUGAGUCGUGAGUAGUUUACCACAGACCUUCGGGGUCCAUAGUUAUUAGCUAGAUGGCUUCUUCUCUCUCUUUGAAUCUCAAUACAAAGUUCUUCUCGAUCUUCUUGGAGAUCUAUUCAAUGUAACUCUUUUUGUGGUGUGUUUGUCGAGAUUCGAUGAAUUGUGGGUUUAUGAUCAAGGUUAUCUAUGAGAAAUAUUUGAAUCUCCUUUGAAUUCUUUUAUGUAUGAUUGGUUAUCUUUGCAAGUCUCUUUGAAUUAUCAGUUUGGUUUGGCCUACUAGAUUGAUCUUUCUUGCAAUGGGAGAAGUGCUUAGCUUUGGGUUCAAUCUUGCGGUGUCCUUUCCCACUGACAGCAGGGGCAGCAAGGCAUGUAUUGUAUUUUUGCCAUUAAGGAUAAAAAGAUGGGGUUUAUAUCAUAUUGCAUGGGUUUAUCCCUCUACAUCAUGUCAUCUUUCUUAAUGCGUUACUCUGUUCUUCAUAAACUUAAUACUCUAGAUGCAGGCAGGAGUCGGUCAAUGUGUGGAGUAAUAGUAGUAGAUGUAGAAUCGUUUCGAUCUACUUGUCACUGACGUGAUGCCUAUAUACAUGAUCAUGCCAAGAUAUUCUCAUAACUAUGCACUUUUCUUUUAAUUGCUCGUCAGUAAUUUGUUCACCCACCGUAAUACUUAUGCUAUCUUGAGAGAAGCCACUAGUGAAACCUAUGCCCCCGGUCUAUCCUUUAUCAUAUAAGUUUCCCAUCAACUUUUAUUUGCAUCCUUACUUUCCAAUCUAUGUCAUAAAAAUACCAAAAAUAUUUAUCUUAUCUUAUUAUCUCUAUCAGAUCUCACUUUCGCAAAUUACCGUGAAGGGAUUGACAACCCCUUUAUCGCAUUGGUUGCGAGGUUCUUGUUUGUUUGUGUAGGUACGAGGGACUUUUGAGGAGCCUCCUACUGGAUUGAUACCUUGGUUCUCAAAAACCAAGGGAAAUACUUACGCUACUUUGCUGCAUCACCCUUUCCUCUUCAAGGGAAAACCAACAGAGUGCUCAAGAGGUAGCAGUAGCUGAGGGUGAUAGGUUUGAGAUGGAAAACAUUCAGGAUGAAAGCACCGGCUCACCAUCUCCCAGUUCAUGUGUAUCAUCCUAUAACAACCCCAUCAAGAUGAUGCAUGGGGGGUACCCACGAUGCUAUAUGCAUGUUUUCGUGCGUAGGGAGGACUUCCCUAUGUGCAUCAUUUGCAAGCAACCCACCCUCCUCAACUUGAAAACUAUGCUCGCCAACAUGCAGCAUGCCAGGCGCUAGUAAACAAUAGUAGGGCAAUGAUGUCAUGCUUAGUUAAGUUCCAUUAUUAUUGUGUAUCUGUAUGCAUCAGUGUUGAAUGCUUAUUUCUUGUCAUAAUGCUCAUGUUUUCAUAUGUAAACAUAUUAAUUAAGGAAAUAAUGGAAAUAAUUGUCAUUUGCAUUAGAUUUGUUGUCUCUAACUAAACUAGAAAAAUGUUUCAAUAAGGUUUCAUUGAAAUCUUGUUCCUUAGUUAACCAAAAUAUGAAAUCGGGAGUUGUCUUCUAGAAUUUUAGGUUUAAGUUUUCUCCACGUUAGAACACCCGAGUGCUACCUUAAAUUCGUAUUUUCGGCCUCGGGGUUCUUGGAGUCUUCUUUGAGAUCACUGAGUACAAUCCUUUGAUGGAAGAUUCUCACAUGUUAUGAUUGGAACCACCAUUCUUAGCUUUGGAAGCAACAAAGGUUUUUGAGGCUUUAAGUCUCGGGCUCAUUCCAUCCUCAGCCUCUUGGAUUUAAUGCUCCAUCAAAAGUUUGGGUGGAAUCAACAUGCACACAUUCACAUUUUCACCCUCCUUCCUUCCUGACAAUUUGGAGCUCUUCUGUCUUCUACUUGGGCUUUCCAGAAGCACAUAAGCGAAAGUACCGUGCUGGGGAGCGGUAGUGCCGCUCCAGUGGUACUAUCGCCCUCUACUUGUUCGAGCACUGUCGCUUGUGCUUUGUGUUUUGUAACUGAGUGGAAGUUGUGUGGUAGUAGCGAGCGGUAGUACCGCUCGUGCAGUACUACAGCUCAUGCUACUGCCCCACUACUAUGGAUUCACCAAACACCAUAGGAUUAAGCGGUAGUGUCAGGACCCCGAUCCUAAGUCACACCAAUCUAGCAUGUAACACAUCAUAUCGCUUUGCGGCCUCACGCACGGUAUUCCCACGGCUGCAGCCUUGGUCAGGACCGUUUGCGCCUUUUGGCUCACGUAUACGAUUGUGUCGCUAGCAUCCAUAUGACAGAGAACCCGGGCUGACAUGACUAGUUGUAAACCCAAGGUGGCACAAACUUAUGGGGACGGGCAUACAUGACCGAGCAAUGCACGUGUCAGUCAACAGCGAGUGCAACUGAGUCGUAGCAAGCUACAAGGACUUCAGUAAAACAUUGUGUGACAUUUCCCCAAAGGGACAAACACAGGAGCGAUGAAGGACACCUGCCAGUCAAUCCAUGUGUUUCGGAGCAGUAGCAAGCUACCAUGGCUCAAUGGAAGCACUAGGAGGCAUUUCCCCAUAAGAGAGGCUACCAAGAAUAAACAACUAGGUGUCGGAACCCACACAUAACAAUACACGUUACACGUAUGCAUAACAUGUAGGUAUGUGUUGUACAACAUGGCAUCACAAAAUAACACAACAACUCAUAUAGAUAAAGGCCCAGAAGAGCCAUCAUAGCAUUCAUUACAAGCAGCGGGUCUCAUGACCCUUCACACAAAGUCAUACAAGCCAAGCGGAAGCAUAAACAUGUUUGAGUAUAGAUAGCUAGAAAGAGAAAAGUCUAGAAAGCAUGUCUAUCUACAAGACCCUGCAUAGGAACCAGGACUCUGUCUAGGAUUCCCAAGCUAAACGUCGGAGCCUACGUGAAACUACUAGUGAGAAUGAAGUCUCUCUGCCAAAACAUAAAUUAAGCAAACAUGAGUACAAAUGUACUCAUCAAGACUUACAUCAGAACUAGCUACAAAUGCAUCAGUAUUAACAAAGGGGUGGUGGAGUUUAACUUUAGCGAGCCAGCUUUGACUCAGUGGCUAUCCUGAACUACGACUACCAGUAAUUUCUUUUAGGUGGCACACACGAGCCCACUGUUGGGGAACGUAGUAAUUUCAAAACAAUUCCUACGCACAUGCAAGAUCAUGGUGAUGCAUAGCAACGAGAGGGGAGGGUGUUGUCCAUGUACCCUAAUAGACUGAAAGUAGAAGCGUUAGCACAACGCAGUUGAUGUAGUCGUACGUCUUCACAAUCUGACCGAUCCAAGUACCAAAUGUAUGGCACCUCCGAGUUCAGCACACGUUCACCUCGAUGACGUCCCGCGAACUCCGAUCCAGCAGAGCUUCACGGGAGAGUUUCGUCAGCACGACGACGUGAUGAUGGUGAUGAUGUUGCUACCGAUGCAGGGCUUCGCCUAAGCACCGCUACAACAUGACCGAGGUGGAAUAUGGUGGAGGGGGGCACCGCACACGGUUGGGAGAGAUCAAUAGAUCAACUUGUGUGUCUAGAGGUACCCCCUGCCCUUGUAUAUAAAGGAGCAAGUGGGGGAGAGGCGGUCUUCCAAGGAGGGCGCACCAAGGGGGAGUCCUACUCCCACCGGGAGUAGGACUCCUUUCCUUGUUGGAGUAGGAGAAGGGAAGGAAGGGAGAGAGGAGGAGAAGGAAAAAGGGGGGCGCCGCGCCCCUACUGUCCAAUUUGGACUAGAGGGGAGGGGGCGCGGCUGCCCUGGCUGCCCCUCCUCUUCUCCCACUAAGGCCCAUUAGGCCCAAUAUACUCCCCGGGGGGUACCGGUAACCCCCGAUACUCCGGUAAAUGUCCGAAACCUCCCGAAACACUUCCGGUGCCCGAACAUAGUCAUCCAAUAUAUCGAUCUUUAUGUCUCGACCAUUUCGAGACUCCUCGUCAUGUUCGUGAUCAUAUCCGGGACUCCAAACUACCUUCGGUACAUCAAAACACAAAAAACUCAUAAUACUGAUCGUCACCAAACUUUAAGCGUGCGGACCCUAUGGGUUCGAGAACUAUGUAGAUAUGAACGAGACACUUCUCCGGUCAAUAACCAAUAGCGAAACCUGGAUGCUCAUAUUGGUUCCCACAUAUUCUACGAAGAUCUUUAUCGGUCAAACCGCAUAACAACAUACGUCGUUCCCUCUGUCAUCGGUAUGUUACUUGCCCGAGAUUCGAUCCUCGGUAUCUCAAUACCUAGUUCAAUCUCAUUACCGGCAAGUCUCUUACUCGUUACGUAAUGCAUCAUUCCGCAACUAACUCAUUAGUCACAUUGCUUGCAAGGCUUAUAGUGAUGUGCAUUACCGAGAGGGCCAAGAAAUACCUCUCCGACAAUCGGAGUGACAAAUCAUAAUCUUGAAAUACGCCAACUCAACAAGUACCUUCGGAGACACCUGUAGAGCACCUUUAUAAUCACCCAGUUACAUUGUGACGUUUGGUAGCACACAAAGUGAUCCUCUGGUAAACGGGAGUUGCAUAAUCUCAUAGUCAUAGGAACAUGUAUAAGUCAUGAAGAAAGCAAUAGCAACAUACUAAACGAUCACGUGCUAAGCUAACGGAAUGGGUAAAGUCAAUCACAUCAUUCUCCUAAUGAUGUGAUCCCGCUAAUCAAAUGACAACUCAUGUCUAUGGUUAGGAACCUUAACCAUCUUUGAUUAACGAGCUAGUCAAGUAGAGGCAUACUAGUGACACUAUGUUUGUCUAUGUAUUCACACAUGUAUUAUGUUUCCGGUUAAUACAAUUCUAGAAUGAAUAAUAAACAUUUAUCAUGAUAUGAGAAAAUAAAUAAUAACUUUAUUAUUGCCUCUAGGGCAUAUUUCCUUCAGUCUCCCACUUGCACUAGAGUCAAUAAUCUAGAUUACACAGUAAUGAUUCUAGCACCCAUGGAGUCUUGGUGCUGAUCAUGUUUUGCUCGUGGAAGAGGCUUAGUCAACGGGUCUGCAACAUUCAGAUUCGUAUGUAUCUUGCAAAUCUCUAUGUCUCCCACCUGGACUUGAUCCUAGAUGGAAUUGAAGCGUCUCUUGAUGUGCUUGGUUCUCUUGUGAAAUCUGGAUUCCUUUGCCAAGGCAAUUGCACCAUUAUUGUCACAAAAGAUUUUCAUUGGACUCGAUGCACUAGGUAUGACACCUAGAUCGGAUAUGAACUCCUUCAUCCAGACUCCUUCAUUCGCUGCUUCUGAAGCAGCUACGUACUCGGCUUCACACGUAGAUCCCGCCAUGACACUUUGUUUAGAACUGUACUGCCUGGGAAACUGACCCACGGACACCUAUGGGGACCGAGCCCCUUUCGGUUUGGCGGGGGGGCGGAGGUCGCACGAAGAGCAGAUCGAGGCGAAGCACACGAGCAGUUUACCCAGCUUCGGAGCUCUCCAGAGAGAUAACACUCCUACUGCUGCUUGUCUGAUUGUAUUAUGUUCUUGCUCGAGAGAGCUAAGUGUUUUUCUGGGUCCGAACCCCCUCUACGUUGCGCAUGGGCCUCCUUUUAUAUGCUAAAGGGGUCACCGACAGGUGGCAACGCAGAGAAGGGUACAAAUGUAAAAGGCGAGGUAGUUGGUACAGUUACUUGUACAGUGUUUUCUACCUAACCCUGACGCCAGGGGACAAAGGCAUUAAAUGCCCGUCUGAGUCGCCCAAACAGCGCAGAAAAGGACCGUCAGGGGCGCCACCGUUCGCCAUGAUGGCGAUCUUGUCAGCUUCGCAUGCCACUGCGCACCGCUAGCUGCACAGCCAUCCGCCACGCGCGCCUGGGAAGGCCCCCAGAGCGACACGUUGGUGGAUGCGCUGGAGCGUGGGUACAGAGUGGCCGCCUGCCGCGGCAAGCGCCUUGCCGUGGCCAUUGUCUUGCCGGGCCCGGAAGCUUGUCGCCCACCGGGCCUCGAGAUGCCUUGGUUAGUCUUCCCGGCAAGCUCCUCUUGCCGGGGCCUUGUUGCCUUGCCGGAGCGUGUGGCGCGUCGCGGCAAGUUCCUUGGAAUGCCUUGGUUGGCCUUCCCGGCAAACUCCUCUUCCGGGGCCUUGUCUCCUGAGCUUAAAUACUUUGUUCUUGAAUGGCUCCCAGGGAACCACGGAGGACCUUGGCGGUCGCCCGGCAAGCCUUGCCGCGGGGCGCUGCAACUGCCCGUGCACAAGUUCGGGGAACUAGGGUACCCCUAUUCUAGUACAGUGACAGGAGCCCCCGGGCCUGGGCCAUACACGGUGCCGAGCGCUGUUGGGCCAGGCCCAAAACAGGGCACAGACACACGCGGCCUGGGCCACGCCGAAUCUUGCUCCGUAUCCACCGCGCCCUCCCCUAAUGGCACGCGUUGAAUGCGGCGUCGUGGGAGAGAUCGUGGGUGGUUUCUUUAUUCAGAAGGGUGAAACGUCCGCCCCGUCCCUCUUUAUAAGCAGAGGAAACAGGGGCAGUUCGUUCCCCCUCGCUGGUUGCUACUACUCCAUCUUCACGAACCUCCGCCGCAUCCCCCUUCUUCUCCAAGCUGAGAGAGCAGCGCUCCGCCCCCCAUUGCCACCAGCACCACCAACGCCGUCGACCUCCCCCACCACCUCCGCCAUGGCUCCGAAAGCCGACAAGGGGAAGGGCGUGAAGUCAGCCGAGGCGCAGCGGCUCGCGGCGCUGCGGAAGGAGCGGGCCAUCUUCUCCCCCCAGCUCGGUGCGAAGGAGCUGAGGGAGUACUUUUACCUCUUUUGGGCGACGGAGACGCGUGCGCAUCCGCGCACGAGGGUACUCCCGGCCGCUGCUUCUGAACUGGCUCCAAACGGGUACCCAUUCUUCGCGCUAUUCUUCUAUUGUGGGCUCUGCCCGCCCUUCUCGGAGUUCUUCUGCGACAUAAUGAACACCUACGGGCUCCGCCUUCUUGAUUUCACCCCCAACGCCGUUCUAACCAUGGCAGUUUUCGCACAUUUGUGCGAAAACUUUGUCGGAGUCCACCCCAACGUAGCCCUUUUCCGCCACUUCUUCAUGCCUCGAGUCGAGAGAGGAGAGCCGCUUGCCGGAGGGAUCGCCUGGAUUUCGAGAGUCGGCAAGAAGGAGGCGUAUCUGGAGGGCGAGCUCCACAGCAAGUGGGAGGAGUGGAGAGCGGAGUGGUGUUGGAUCGUUGAGGAGAACCCGCAGCCCUUCACCGCCGUGCGCCAAGCCCCAAUAGUGCGUGGCAAUGACUGGAGCAACGUGGCCCCGGAAGACGAGAGGCUGAAGAUCGCCAUCACUAGGAUCCUCCGCCUCAGGCUUGCCGGGCUCACUGUAGGCGCUGUCGGCGCAGAUUUCCUCCGCCGCCGCAUCACCCCCUACAGGAGAGGGGGAGGCCCGCCUGGGAAUUCAAGAACUCGGCGGACAUCAUGAGGCUGCGGCCGGGCCUCAACUACAACUUCACCGUCCUGGAGCUGGAUGCAAUGCUCUUGGAGUUGUUCAAACGCGAUCCCCAGCACCCAUUCACGCUGCCGAGGGGUGUAGUUCCAUUGUGCAAUAACUCUUCGCUUGACCGGAUCCGCGCCAUGAUGCCGUUGUGCGAUUCACACGGAAUCGUUCCAACUUGGCAAGAGCCUGCGGAUGACGUCGUGCAAGCGUUCUUCAACAACUUGGAAGAAGUGCCGGUCCGUGCUGACGAGCAGAAGAGCCUCACCCGUGACACCACUGACGAGGAGCUGCAGCGCAUCGCCACUAGGGCGGAAGAGGUUGCGGCCGGAGCUGCCGCGGGCGCGUUCGGGUUCACCGUGGAGGAGGCGGAGGCGGCAGAGGCAGCAAACCUUGCCGAGCGCGCGGAGUUUAUUGGCGAGGAAGAUCUUGUCGGCUCUGAAGCUGAGCCAAGUGAGGCCGGCGAGGAAGGGCCCGAGCCUUCAGAAAGCUUGCCGCAGGCGGAGCCCCCGGCCCCGCCAAGAAGGCGUCUUCGCAGGGCCGCGGACGUAGCGGGGCGGCAGCCGGGUCAACAGCCGCCGAGCCGUGCGACACGCUCUAUCGCGGCAAGCAAUGUUGCCGCGGGAGCACCUCACGCAGCAGUGGCAACUGGAGCAGGAUCUUCCCGGUCCAUCGCCAUCGCCCCCGCCAAAUGGGCAAGGGAUCCUACUCCAACGCCUCGUCGCACCGGAGGGGAGCUGGACUUUGAUCUCUCCGCGCUCAGUUCCGACGAGGAGGAGGAAGAGUAAGUUUCUUCAAUGCUCUUGUAGUUCUUCAAUCUUGCCGUUUUUAUCUUGUAUCUGACUUGCUUCAAUCUGAACCUACUCCUUUUCAGGACGCUGGCUCAGAGAGCGGCGAAGAGAGCCAAGGCCGCGGUGAUCGUCAUCGAGGAUGACCCCACCGUGUCAGCAGGGGGUGGGUCUGAGACCACCUUGACGGACCCAGCAACCACUCCUCAAAGCAGCCCCCAGCGCAGCCCCCAGCGUAAGUUCAUAGUUAGCUUCCUGCUGUCAGGCGCGCAUGAGUGCUUUUUCCUUUGCUGAUAUCUUGCUUGUUGAUUUGCGUAGGAGCAGAACAGCCACAUCAGGAGCGCCCGGAGGCUGGUCCCGAAGCGCCAUCUGCUUCGACUACGCCGCCAAGGGAGGGGUCCCCGGCAAGGGAGCGCUCUCCGGCAAGGGACAACACCAACGACCCUGCGGUGGCUGAGACCGCAACUGCAGAUCUUGGCACAGGUAAUCCACUUGUCCAAAAACUUUUCCCUUGGGUUCUUCUUCUUCUGAUCUUCUUCUUGCAUAUUUGCUUGACUUUUUCUUCCUUCUUCGUUCUUCAGAUCCAUCUGCUGUGGAGCCAAUGGAGACAGAGGACGCCGGCAAGGAAGGCGCGCGUGGCAGCAACGACGACGUCGCCGUCAAUGAAGAAAGGGCCGGUGUUGAUGAGCCUACCGGCGAAGAGGCCGCCAAGGCUGCCGCCGCAGAAGCCGGCGAGGGGUCGGGCGAUCGCACUGACGGCCCUGAGGCCGCAGGAGCGCCAGGUGCUGCACCGACCGCCGAUCCCUCCGCCACUGCCGCGGAGCCAGGCUCCGAAGAGCCCCAGCCCGGCGCCUACUUGAAGGCCGGCGACGAUAUCUUCAUCAAGCUACCCUGGGCGUCGAGCUCCAGGGCGCCGGUCGAGGGGGAAACUUUCGAUGAGGAGCUGCUCGCCUCUGUCGGGCUGUCGUUGGUCGAUGUGCCAAGCAGCAGCAGUGGCGAGCCUGAGGAGGAGCAGCUACUGCGGAAGCUGCUGUCACUCUACCGCGCCCGACGAGCCAAGAUGGCUUCUUGGGAAGCGCUUGUCGCAAAGGCGGGAGUUGAUAUGGAGAAGCGCGCGGAGGAGCUCCGGGGCCUCAACCAGGAAGCUCUCCGGUCCCUGGCACAGGAGCGGAAGAGACUCGCAGAGGAGCGUACGGCCUUCCUUCUUGAGAAGGCCGAAGCUGAGGACGAACAAAGGCUCGCUGCCGAGAAGCAGUCCGCGCGAGAAGGCGAAUUGGUGCAGCGGAAGGCCAACCUCGACAACUACGAGGAGGAGCUCGCCGAGCGCGAGCAAGCACUUGGCGGGGCGCUCAAGGAAGCAAAGGACGCUGCCGCAACCGCAGAGGCCGCCAAGAAAGAGCUGGAGGAGAAGGUGGCGCAGCUGGAGGCCAACAUCGGGAAGAGUGGCGAGGAGCUUGCCGCGCUCAAGCGUGAGCGCGAGAAGGAUGCUGCCGCCCAUGGUGAGCUGCAAGGUCUUCUCGCCGAGAGGAACAAGGAUCUUAGCGCCGCCAAGGACUCCAACGCGGACCUGGAGAUGAAGCUGGCCACGCUAACUCAGACGCUGGAUGACGCCAAGGAGCGGGAGAAGACCUUGUCGGAGAAGGUUAAGGCUGACAAGGCGCUGCUGGAGAGCAUCGCCGUUACCCAGAACUCAUUUAGAGAGACUGUGGAGCACUGGACCGAGGGUCUGGUGAAUAUCGCCGCAGUCAUCGACGAGGAGCUGGCGCAGCUGGGGAUGGAGGACUUUGGGUAUCCCUCCGACGAGAAUCUCCAACCCAGCGCCAAGCUCAGCCUGUUCUUCAAGGGCAUGGCAACGGCACUCCAGCGUCUCCGGGAGAGGAUCCCAAAGCAGCUGGCCGACGAGUCGCGCAUGAUCUGCGCAGGAGUUCUCCAGAAGGUGCUGAUGAAGGUGGCCUUCCGCAAUCCAGGCCUCAGCUUUACCAACAUCCUCAAGUCCUUGCCGCCAGACGCCGAUCGGGACGCGCUCAAGGCCCUUGUCGCACCUAUUGUGGACAAAGUAAGCGAGAUCAAGAGGGUUGAAGGCGAUCGCGUAGACUAGGCCGCCCAUUUCUUGCUUUUCCUUGUCGCUGCUAAUCAUGUUAUGAAAACAGUCUGUUAGAGCUGCGACAAGUUAUCUUGUAAUAUAACUUUAUUUCUGUUAUCAAUUGCUAUGUUAUUUCCUUUACUAGAUUCCUUCCUUUGUACAUUUUUACCCUACGCUUUUAGGGAACUUGUCGGCGCAGGAACCCGAGCCGCGAGCGCUGAGUGUGGGACGUUAGCAGCCUGUUGGCGGUGCCGCUUCCGACAAGAAACCUUGUCGCAACUAGAUGCAGCACACUUAAGUUGUUGAGCGGACUCAAAACAAAGUAAGGGCGCAACUAGCUACGAGUUGGUUCCUCCGCGCACAGGUUUUCCAUACAAAGCAGGGUCGUUCGAGGAAGGUAACUUAAAAAUUUAGAAACUGAUUGCUCAAACUUUGGCAACUUAGCUUUUCUGUCGUUUGCUUCCCAGCAAGGCGAAACUUGCUUGAACGACGCCUGGUCCACAUCAUAAUCUUCUCCUUCCCCCCCGGCAAACUUGUGUGCGGAGGAACCUUCCUUUCCUUUGUUGAGAAAAAGAAAGAAGAGAAAAUAAUGAUAUGGAGCCUUUCGGCUCGUUAUUGCUUACCGGGUGUAGGUGCUGCACAAAGUGUCAGAUAACGCAUGCAAGAAAGUAGAUAAUGCAUGAAAUUGACAAGAUGUGCGGAGCACACGAUCUUUACUUAUGUACGGGAUCUGCGCCCGGCUUUGUACUAAGGAUUACAUGCAACAGCGGCAAGACUUGUACAAAAGGUGGUUGCCAGAACGGGUUCCGGCAACCGCGCCCUACGGGUAAAACUUGCGAAGAUGCUCAAUAUUCACCGGAGUGGCAUCUUCGGUCUCAAGGCGGACAGCGCCGGGCCUAGUGACUCGUUUCACCCAAUAAGGGCCUUCCCACUUCGGCGUCAACUUGUUGGAAUUCUUGGUAGACUGAACGCGCCGAAGAACAAGGUCGCCUUCCUCGAAGCUUCUGGCAUUAACUUUGCGGCUAUGGUAGCGGCGCAAAGCUUGCUGAUAUCGAGCAGCUCGUACAGCAGCCUGAAGACGAUCUUCCUCAAGGAGCAGCGCGUCAUCUUGUCGCAGCUGCUCUUGCUCAAGCUCAUCAUAAGCGAGUACUCGAGGUGAUCCGUAUACGAGUUCCGUGGGGAGAACUGCCUCUGCUCCAUAGACUAGAGCGAAAGGUGUCUGGCCAGUGGCUCGAUUUGGCGUCGUCCUGAUCGACCAAAGAACCACCGACAGCUCCUCGAUCCAGUUUCUUCCGCACUUGUGCAGCCUAUCGAAAGUUCUGGUCUUGAGCCCGCGCAGCACUUCAGCAUUUGCCCUCUCUGCUUGACCGUUGCUUCUCGGGUGAGCAACAGAAGCAAAGCAGACCUUGGCGCCAAGGUCUUGGACGUACUGCAUGAAGGUGCGGCUCGUGAAUUGCGUGCCGUUGUCGGUGAUGAUCCUGUUAGGGAUCCCGAAACGGCAAACAAUUGACCUGAAGAACUUGACUGCUGACUGUGCUGUCGCCUUCCUCACUGGUUCUGCUUCCGGCCACUUUGAGAACUUGUCAAUUGCAACGUACAAGUACUCAAAGCCCCCGACAGCUCGGGGGAAGGGGCCGAGGAUGUCGAGGCCCCAGACCGAAAAUGGCCAGGAUAAAGGGAUCGUCUGGAGAGCUUGAGCUGGCUGGUGUAUCUGCUUGGAAUGGAACUGGCACGCUUCACAUUUGGUUACUUGUGCAGUUGCAUCCUGGAGGGCUGUCGGCCAAAAUAAACCUUGCCGAAAAGCUUUGCCGGCAAGUGCUCUUGCACCAAUGUGGUGGCCACAUAUGCCUCCAUGUAUCUCUGCCAACAGCUUUUGUCCGUCUUCCCGGCAGAUACACUUCAAUUUCACACCGUUGAGUCUUCUUCUGUACAGUAUGCUAUCGACAAACUGGUACAUACUUGACUGCCGGGCUACUUUUUCUGCUUCUUCUUGCUCUUCGGGAAGUUCUCCUGUCUGAAGGAAAUGGACAAUCUGCUGCGCCCAUGCUGGAGCUUGUGGCUCGACAACAAGGACUAAAGGCACAUCUGCUGCUGCGGGAACAUCUGCUUCUAUGGCAAGGACUUGCGGCCCUGCCGGAGCUUGAUGUUCCCCGGCAAGCUUGCCGGAGCAAAGCUUGUCAGGAGCGUCUGCUUCAACGGAACAAACCAUAAGGCUUGCCGGAGCAGACUGCUCCUCAGCAUCCUCGGCGUUGAUCUUGGGGACUUUCUUGGCAGCGGCUUCGGGGAGCUCUGCCGGAAGGUAGUCACCAGAAACCAACUUCCUCUUCUUGCUUUGUCUAGUUGAUGGUGUUACGGAUGGUUGAGUCAGCUUGAGCACAAAGAUCCCUGGUUCCACAGGUAACUUUAGUGCGGCGCACUUUGACAGGCCAUCAGCAAUGUCAUUCUGUGCUCUUGGGACAUGCUCCAUCUGUAGGCCGUCAAAGUGCUCUUCUAGCUUUCUCACUUCAUCAACAUAUGCUUCCAUCAAGGAACUCUGGUAAUUCUUGUUCACUUGGCGGACGACAAGCUGUGAGUCACCCCUGACAAUGAGCUUCUUGAUCCCAAGGUCUGCUGCGAUUCUGAGACCGGCAAGCAAUCCUUCAUACUCUGCAGCAUUGUUGGUUGCUUGCUCCUUGGGAAAGUGCAUCUGGACUACAUACUUGAGGUGCUCUCCGGUGGGCGCGACAAGCAGCACACCCGCACCGGCACCUUGCAGUGAGAAGGCACCAUCAAAGUACAUCAGCCACUCUUUGCUUGCCUCCUUGACGGGGAUGCUCGUCUCUGGAAUUUCUUCAUCUGACAUUGGCGUCCACUCUACUAUGAAUUCUGCCAAUGCUCUGCUUUGGAUAGUUGAAGUGCUCUCAAACUUGAGGCCAAAGCUUGACAGUUCCAGCGCCCACUCGACAAUCCUGCCUGUCGCUUCUGGAUUUUGCAGUAUCCUCUUCAGCGGAAAGCGAGUGACAACUGUGAUCUCAUGUGCUUGGAAGUAAUGGCGCAGCUUUCUCGAGGCCAUGAGAAGGCCAAAAAGUAGUUUCUGCACAGCGGAGUACCUUGACCUAGCCCCCUGCAGAAGGGAACUGACAAAGUAAACUGGGCGCUGCACCAUUCUCUUCUGCAUCUUGUCAUGCUCCUGCGCAGAUCCAUCCUUGUCGGGACCAGAGCUUGUCGGCGAAGCCCCCUGCUUGUCGCUGGAUGCAUCUGCUGUGGUUGCUGGCUCAUCAUCUGCCUCCCUCUCCGCCACUAACGCAGCACUAACCACUUGAUUAGUUGCCGCUAUGUACAGCAGCAACUUCUCUCGUGGUUUAGGUGCGACAAGUGUUGGAGUGGAGGACAGGUAUCUCUUCAAGUCCUGCAGUGCAGCCUCCGCCUCCGGAGUCCAUUUCAUUGGACCUACCUUUUUCAAUAUUUUGAAAAAUGGCAGGGCGCGCUCAGCAGAUCUAGAGAUAAACCUGCUGAGAGCAGCCACGCAACCGGCAAGUCUUCAUACAUCCUUGACGCGCUUUGGUGCUUCGAUCUGCUCAAUGGCCUUGAUCUUGUCGGGAUUGGCUUCAAUUCCCCGCUGAGACACAAAGAACCCGAGAAGCUUGCCGGAAGGGACUCCAAAUACGCACUUCUCGGGGUUAAGCUUGAGGUUGAUCUUGCGCAGAUUUGCAAAUGUCUUGUCUAAAUCUUGAAUCAGGGUCGCCCUGUCCUUGCUCUUGACCACUAUGUCAUCCAUGUAGGCUUCCACAUUUCUGUGCAUCUGCGGCUCAAAAGCAUGGUGGAUUACCCUCACAAAUGUUGAACCAGCAUUCUUCAAACCGAAAGGCAUCCGUACGAAACAGUACGUGCCACACGAGGUGAUGAAUGCGGUCUUCUCCUCAUCCUCUUCUGCCAUGAAGAUCUGAUGGUAUCCUGAGUAUGCAUCAAGAAAUGAAAGCAAAUCACAUCCGGCCGUGGAAUCAACAAUCUGGUCAAUGUGCGGCAAGGGAAAUGGGUCUUUGGGACAAGCUUUAUUAACAUCGGUGAAGUCGAUACAAAGUCUCAAUUUCCCGUUAGCCUUACGCACGACAACAGGAUUGGCCAGCCACGUGGGAUGGAGCACUCCUCUGACAAGGCCUGCUGCUUCCAACUUCUUGAUUUCUUCUGCAAUGAAUUCUUGGCGCUCCACUGCCUGUUUCCUGACUUUCUGCUUGACGGGCCGCGCAUGAGGACAAACGGCAAGGUGGUGCUCAAUUACUUUCCUAGGAACACCGGGGAUAUCAGACGGUUGCCACGCAAACACGUCGACAUUCGCCCGCAGGAAAGCAACGAGCGCGCUUUCCUAUUUGGGGUCGAGAGUGGCACUGAUGGUGAAGGUACCACCAGUGCCGUCCUCCUUGGUGGACACCUUCUUGGUCUCAGGUGGAGCUGCCAUCGCCUUCUUACACUUGCCGGUGGAGCUCGAUGGUGCAUCCUCGACGGUAGCGCAGCACUCCGAAGAGGUGCGCUUGCCGGAGUGGGCAUCAGAGCUCUUGCCGGACUUGGUCUUCUUCUUCCCCCCGGGAGCUUCAGCGGCAAGUGACUUGCGAUCUGUUGCGGCUGUUGCUUCUCGGUAGAUCUUGUCAGCACAGAUAAGAGCAUCCUUCUUGUCGCCAGGGACAGAGAUGACACUUAUCGGGCCUGGCAUCUUCAGUAUGUUGUAUGCAUAGUGAGAGGCUGCCAUGAACUUGGCAAGUGCUGGACGGCCAAGGAUUCCAUUGUAAGGCAAUGGAAAAUCAGCAACAUCAAAUGUGACCCUCUCAGUCCUGAAGUUCAGCUCGCUGCCAAAUGUUACCGGCAGCGUGAUCUUUCCCUUCGGCUUGCUCCUUCUCGGGUUGAUUCCUUGAAACGUGUCGGUUUCUUUGAGCUCGCUGUCAGGGAUCUGGAGUUUCUGGAGCACCGCGGAGGAGAUCAGGUUCAAGCCGGCCCCGCCGUCAACUAGCAUCUUGGUGACCUUGAGGUUGCGGAUAGUUGGUGAAACCAACAUUGGCAAGCACCUGACCGCAGUUAUGCGAUCAGGGUGGUCCUCAAUAUCAAAGAUGAUAGGCGUGCUGGACCAUUUCAGAGGCCUGCGUGACUCGACAGGUGGUUCUGCUGGAUUAACUUCCCGCACCCACUGCUUGAGCUGGCGGUGCGAAGUAUGCAGAGAAGCACCACCGUCAACGCACAGGACCUCUGUGGCUUUCUGAAACUCCUGCUCAUCAGUCUCCUCAUCAUCCAGGUCUUCAUCAUCAUCGUCAUCUUCAUCCUUGUCGCGGCCGCGAGGAGGUCUGUCUCCUUGCCACUGCUUGGCCUUGCCGCGGCGUCCUCCUCGGCCGGGACGUUUCUUGCCGGAUCCUCCAGCACCUUCCUGGGCCUUCUCCUUAUCGCGCCGCUCGUAUUCAGCUUUCUGUUGCUCAACAAGCUGCUCAACCUUCUUGCAGCUCUGGAGAUCAUGGCCCAUGGUGCGGUGGAUCUUGCAAUACUGCUUGUUGGUGCCGUCCUGCUUGUCGGCGACCGCCACCUCCGCGGCAACCUCCUUGCCGGAGUCACCAGCUUUGGCUUUCUUGGCGCCACCUCCGUUGCCGGACUGCUCAACAACCAGCACCUCUUUGCCUUUCUUCUUCCUAUUUUUCCGCCGCCGGUUUUUCCUUGCCGGGGCAGCGUCCUCACUGUCAGAUCCUCCUGCUCCUAUGUUCUCUCCGGGGAGUCUCCUCCCUUCCUCAGCACGUGCACACUUGUCGCCCAGGGCAUACAGCUCACUGACAUCUCUGAUCUUGCACAUCGCCAUUUCUUCCCGCAUCCUGCGGUUUCGCAUGUUCUGAUGGAACGCGCUGAUCACCGCGGCUGGGUGGACGUCUGGGAUAUUGUGCUGCACACUGCUGAAUCUCUGAAUGUACUUGUGCAGGGGUUCUCCUUCCUUCUGGGCGAGCAGGUGAAGGUCACUCUCUUGGCCAUGAGGCUUGUGGCCGCCUGUGAAGGCGCCGACAAACUGAUGGCAUAGAUCAGCCCAAGAGGAGAUGGAGUCGUCCGGCAAGUGCAUGAGCCAGGAUCUGACGUUGGGCUUGAGUACCAGUGGGAAAUAGUUGGCAAGGAUCUUGUCGUCUCGUCCCCCGGCAGCCUGCACCGCAAUGGUGUAGAUGAUGAGGAACUCCGACGGAUGCGUUUUGCCGUUGUACUUCUCCGAUACAUCUGGCUUGAAGUUCUUCGUGCUGGGCCACUGGACUUGCCGCAGCUCACGAGUGAACGCAGGGCAACCUACCGCGUACGGUAGAUCGCCUGGUUCCCCUGGCGCGUGCAUGUCAACAAAGGGCCCAGCGUGCUUGUCUGAUUGACGUCGCGCUUCUCUUCGGCGCUCGAUGCGAGUACGAGUGUCUUCUUGUUGUCGAUCGUGUAGAACUUGGCGCUGAUCGCGACGAGCCUGUGGAUCCGAUGAUGCGGUGGAGUCGCUGUCGAGGUGGAUCCGGCGAGUCGGCGAUCUUGGCCUUCGGGGCGGUGAUUGCAUGGUGGUUGCACCUCCACCAGUUUCGUCGCCACCGGCUCGUGCCUGGCCACCCUGCCGCAGCAGCGACGCGCUCGGCUGUCGUGGAGUGUCGCCGUUGGCGUAGCCGAUGAGACUCUGAAUGGUGGCCCUCCAUUCAUCGAUCUUGUCCGACGUUGGACGGUAAUCCAGGAGCAGUUGAUCUCACGCCAAAGCUUCUGCUGGAGUGGUGGGUGGUAGUGGCGGACGGCGCGAGGAGCGGGAUGUGCUCGGACUCUUAACUAUGUUAGAAGGAGCAGCAUCCCGUCCAGGCGACCGUGCCUCGCUCGCGCCAGCACGUUGGCGCGCAUGCUGGUCUUGAGCGCCCCGAGAUCCACCAGCUUGGUCUUGGUCUAUCAUGCGUAUGGCACUGCGUGUGCCAUGACGCUGUUGGUCCUGCGCCUCCUGAGAUGGACGCGGAACAUGUACGGUCGCCGAGGUUUGUGCAGCCUUGUCCUUGGACCUGGAAGCAUCAUAAGCUUCCUCGUCGACGUCCAUUCUUCCGCCGGCGUCCAUUCCACCACCCGUUUGCUCCAACGGUGGCGGAAGUGACGUGGACGGAGCGGCUGCCACCGAAGUCUUCUUCUUCGGUGGCAUGUUGAUGAAGGAGAUGAAGAUCUAGCUCGUGUGAACGCUGGAUCAGGUUCACGCAAUCUCGACGCCCCCCUACCUGGCGCGCCAAAGAUGUCGGGGAAAUUGACCCACAGACACCUAUGGGGACCGAGCCCCUUUCAGUUCGGCAGGGGGGGGCGGAGGUCGCACGAAGAGCAGAUCGAGGCGAAGCACACGAGCAGUUUACCCAGCGUCGGAGCUCUCCGGAGAGAUAACACUCCUACUGUUGCUUGUCUAUUGUAUUAUGUUCUUGCUCGAGAGAGCUAAGUGUUUUUCUGGGUCCGAACCCCCUCUACGUUGCGCAUGGGCCUCCUUUUAUAUGCUAAAGGGGUCACUGACAGGUGGCAACGCAGAGAAGGGUACAAAUGUAAAAGGCGAGGUAGUUGGUAUAGUUACUUGUACAGUAUUUUCUACCUAACCCUAAUGGCAGGGGACAAAGGCAUUAAAUGCCCAUCUGAGUCGCCCAAACAGUGUAGAAAAGGACCGUCAGGGGCGCCACCGUUCGCCACGAUGGCGAUCUUGUCAGCUUCGCAUGCCACUGCGCACCGCUGGCUGCACAGCCAUCCGCCACGCGUGCCUGGGAAGGCCCCCAGAGCGACACGUUGGUGGAUGCGCUGGAGCGUGGGUACAGAGUGGCCGCCUGCCGCAGCAAGCGCCUUGCCGCGGCCAUUGUCUUGCCGGGCCCGGAAGCUUGUCGCCCACCGGGCCUCGAGAUGCCUUGGUUAGUCUUCCCGGCAAGAUCCUCUUGCCGGGGCCUUGUUGCCUUGCCGGAGCGCGUGGCGCGUCGCGGCAAGUUCCUUGGAAUGCCUUGGUUGGCCUUCCCGGCAAACUCCUCUUGCCGGGGCCUUGUCUCCUGAGCUUAAAUACUUUGUUCUUGAAUGGCUCCCAGGGAACCACGGAGGACCUUGGCGGUCGCCCGGCAAGCCUUGCCGCGGGGCGCUGCAACUGCCCGUGCACAAGUUCGGGGUACUAGGGUACCCCUAUUCUAGUACACUGACAUGUACAAACUGACAGCUCUACCGUUCAAUAUAAACAUGUAUCCGGUUUGCGAUUUAGAAUCGUCUGGAUCAGUGUCAAAGCUAGCAUCGACGUAACCAUUUACGACUAGCUCUUUGUCACCUCCAUAAACGAGAAACAUAUCCUUAGUCCUUUUCAGGUAUUUCAGGAUGUUCUUGACCGCUGUCUAGUGAUCCACUCUUGGAUUACUUUGGUACCUCCCAGCUAAACUAAUAGCAAGGCACACAUCAGGUCUGGUACACAACAUUGCAUACAUGAUAGAGCCUAUGGCUGAAGCAUAGGGAACAUCUUUCAUUUUCUCUCUAUCUUCUGCAGUGGUCGGGCAUUGAGUCUAACUCAACUUCACACCUUGUAAUAUAGGCAAGAACCCUUUCUUUGCUUGAUCCAUUUUGAACUUCUUCAAAACUUUAUCAAGGUAUGUGCUUUGUGAAAGUCCAAUUAAGCGUCUUGAUCUAUCUAUAUAGAUCUUGAUGCCCAAUAUAUAAGGAGCUUCACCGAGGUCUUUCAUUGAAAAACUUUUAUUCAUGUAUCCUUUUAUGCUAUCCAGAAAUUCUAUAUCAUUUCCAAUCAACAAUAUGUCGUCCACAUAUAAUAUUAGAAAUUCUACAGAGCUCCCACUCACUUUCUUGUAAAUACAGGCUUCUCUAAAAGUCUGUAUAAAACCAUAUGCUUUGAUCACACUAUCAAAGCAUUUAUUCCAACUCCGAGAGGCUUGCACCAGUCCAUAAAUGGAUCGCUGGAGCUUGCACACUUUGUUAGCACCUUUCGGAUCGAAAAAACCUUCUGGUUGCAUCAUAUACAACUCUUCUUCCAGAAAUCCAUUCAGGAAUGCAGUUUUGACAUCCAUUUGCCAAAUUUCAUAAUCAUAAAAUGCGGCAAUUGCUGACAUGAUUCGGACAGACUUAAGCAUCACUACGGGUGAGAAAGUCUCAUCGUAGUCAACCCCUUGAACUUGUCGAAAAUCUUUCGCAACAAGUCAAGCUUUGUAGAUAGUAACAUUACCAUCAGCGUCAGUCUUCUUCUUGAACAUCCAUUUAUUCUCGAUGGCUUGCCUAUCAUCGGGCAAGUUAACCAAAGUCCACACUUUGUUCUCAUACAUGGAUCCCAUCUCAGAUUUCAUGGCCUCAAGCCAUUUUGUGGAAUGUGGGCUCAUCAUCGCUUCCUCAUAGUUCGUAGGUUCACCAUGGUAAAGUAACAUGACCUCCAGAAUAGGAUUACUGUACCACUCUGGUGUGGAUCUUACUCUGGUUGACCUACGAGGUUUGGUAGUAACUUGAUCUGAAGUUUCAUCAUCAAUAUCAUUAGCUUCCUCACUAAUUGGUGUAGGUGUCACAGGAACUGGUUUAUGUGAUGAACUACUUUCCAAUAAGGGAGCAGGUAGAGUUACCUCAUCAAGUUCUACUUUCCUCCCACUCACUUCUUUCGAGAGAAACUCCUACUCUAGAAAGGAUCCAUUCUUAGCAACGAAUGUCUUGCCUUUGGAUCUGUGAUAGAAGGUGUACCCAACAGUUUCCUUUGGGUAUCCUAUGAAGACACAUUUCUCCGAUUUGGGAUCGAGCUUAUCAGGUUGAAGCUUUUUCACAUGAGCAUCGCAGCCCUAAACUUUAAGAAAUGACAACUUUGGUUUCUUGUCAAACCACAGUUCAUAAGGUGUCGUCUCAACGGAUUUUGAUGGUGGAGCCGUCUCUAAAGCAUAACCCUAAAAUGAUAGCGGUAAAUCAUUAAGAGACAUCAUAGAUCGCACCAUAUCUAGUAAAGUAUGAUUACGACAUUCGGACACACCAUUACGUUGUGGUGUUCGGGGUGGCGUGAGUUGUGAAACUAUUCCGCAUUGUUUCAAAUGUAGACCAAACUCAUAACUCAAAUAUUCUCCUCCACGAUUAGAACGUAGAAACUUUAUUUUCUUCUUACGGUGAUUUUCCACUUCACUCUGAAAUUCUUUGAACUUUUCAAAUGUUUUAGACUUAUGUUUCAUUAAGUAGAUAUCCCCAUAUCUGCUCAAAUCAUCUGUGAAUGUGAGAAAAUAAUGAUAACCGCCGCGAGCCUCAAUAUUCAUAGGACCACACACAUCAGUAUGUAUGAUUUCCAAUAAAUUUGUUGCUCACUCCAUUGUUCUGGAGAACGGCGUUUUAGUCAUCUUGCCCAUAAGGCAUGGGUCGCAAGUACCAAGUGAUUCAUAAUCAAGUGAUUCCAAAAGUCCAUAAGUAUGGAGUUUCUUCAUGCGCUUUACACCAAUAUGACCCAAACAACAGUGCCACAAAUAAGUUGCACUAUCAUUAUCAACUCUGCAUCCUUUGGCUUCAACAUUAUGAUUAUGUGUAUCACUACUAUCGAGAUUCAACAAAAAUAGACCACUCUUCAAGGGUGGAUGACCAUAAAAGAUAUUACUCAUAUAAAUAGAACAACCAUUAUUCUCAGAUUUAAAUGAAUAACCGUCUCGCAUCAAACAAGAUCCAGAUAUAAUGUUCAUGCUCAACGCUGGCACCAAAUAACAAUUACUUAGGUCUAAAACUAAUCCCGAAGGUAGAUGUAGAGGUAGCGUGCGACAGCGAUCACAUCGACUUUGGAACCAUUUGCCACGCGCAUUGUCACCUCGUCCUUAGCCAGUCUUCGCUUAAUUCGUAGUCCCUGUUUCGAGUUACAAAUAUUAGCAACAGAACCAAUAUCAAACCAAGUGCUACUGCGAGCUCUGGUAAGGUACACAUUAAUAACAUGUAUAUCACAUAUACCUUUGUUCACCUUGCCAUCCUUCUUAUCCGCCAAAUACUUGGGGCAGUUCCGCUUCCAUUGACCAGUCUACUUGCAGCAGAAGCACUCAGUCUCAGGCUUAGCUCCAGACUUGGGUUUCUUCUCUUGAGCAACAACUUGUUUGUCGUUCUUCUUGAAGCUCCCCUUCUUCUUCCCUUUACCCUUUUUCUUGAAACUGGUGGUCUUGUUGACCAUCAACACUUGAUGCUCCUUCUUGAUUUCUACCUCCGCAGCUUUUAGCAUUGCGAAGAGCUCGGGAAUUGUCUUAUUCAUCCCUUGCAUAUUAUAGUUCAUCACGAAGCUCUUGUAGCUUGGUGGUAGUGAUUGAAGAAUUUUGUCAAUGACACUAUCAUCCGGAAGAUUACCUCCCAGUUGAAUCAAGUGAUUGUUAUACCCAGACAUUUUGAGUAUAUGUUCACUGACAGAACUAUUCUUCUCCAUCUUACAGCUAUAGAACUUAUUGGAGACUUCAUAUCUCUCAAUCCGGGCAUUUGCUUGAAAUAUUAACUUCAAUUCCUGGAACAUCUCAUAUGCUCCAUGACGUUCAAAACGUCGCUGAAGUCCCGGUUCUAAGCCGUAAAGCAUGGCACACUAAACUAUCGAGUAGUCAUCAGCUUUGCUCUGCCAAACAUUCACAACGUUUGCAGUUGCAUCUGCAGUAGGCCUAGCACCCAGCGGUGCUUCCAGGACGUAAUUCUUCUGUGCAGCAAUGAGGAUAAUCCUCAAGUUACGGACCCAGUCUGUGUAAUUUCUACCAUCAUCUUUAAACUUUGCUUUCUCAAGGAACACAUUAAAAUUCAACGGAACAACAACACGGGCCAUCUAUCUACAACAACAUAGACAAGCAAAAUACUAUCAGGUACUAAGUUCAUGAUAAAUUUAAGUUCAAUUAAUCAUAUUACUUAAGAACUCCCACUUAGAUAGACAUCUUUCUAAUCAUCUAAGUGAUAACGUGAUCCAAAUUAACUAAACCAUAACCGAUCAUCACGUGAAAUGGAGUAGUUUUCAAUGGUGACCAUAACUAUGUUGAUCAUGUCUACUAUAUGAUUCACGCUCGACCUUUAGGUCUCAGUGUUCCGAGGCCAUAUCUGCAUAUGCUAGGCUCGUCAAGUUUAACCCGAGUAUUCUGCGUGUGCAAAACUGGCUUGCACCCAUUGUAGAUGAAUGUAGAGCUUAUCACACCCGAUCAUCACGUGGUGUCUCGGCACGACGAACUUUGGCAACGGUGCAUACUCAGGGAGAACACUUUUAUCUUGAAAUUUAGUGAGAGAUCAUCUUAUAAUGCUACCGUUAAUCAGAGCAAAAUAAGAUGCAUAAAGGAUAAACAUCACAUGCAAUCAAUAUAAGUGAUAUGAUAUGGCCAUCAUCAUCUUGUGCUUGUGAUCUCCAUCUCCGAAGCACCGUCAUGAUCACCAUUGUAGCGGCGCGACACCUUGACCUCCAUCGUAGCAUCAUUUUCGUCUCACCAACUAUUGCUCCUACGACUAUCGCUACCACUUAGUGAUAAAGUAAAGCAAUUACAGGGCGAUUGCAUUGCAUACAAUAACACGACAACCAUAUGGCUCCUACCAGUUGUCGAUAACUCUGUUACAAAACAUGAUCAUCUCAUACAAUAAAAUUUAGCAUCAUGUCUUGACCAUAUCACAUCACAACAUGCCCUGCAAAAACAAGUUAGAUGUCCUCUAGUUUGUUGUUGCAAGUUUUACAUGGCUGCUAUAGGCUGAGCAAGAACCGUUCUUACCUACGCAUCAAAACCACAAUGAUAUUUCGUCAAGUUAGUGCUGUUUUAACCUUCUCAAGGACCGGGCGUAGCCACACUCGGUUCAACUAAAGUUGGAGAAACUAACACCCGCCGGCCACCUAUGUGCAAAGCAUGUCGGUAGAACUAGUCUCGCGUAAGCGUACACGUAAUGUCGGUCCGGGCCGCUUCAUCCAACAAUACCGCCGAACCAAAGUAUGACAUGCUGGUAAGCAGUAUGACUUGUAUCACCCACAACUCACUUGUGUUCUACUCGUGCAUAUAACAUCUACGCAUAAACCUGGCUCGGAUGCCACUGUUGGGGAACGUAGUAAUUUCAAAGAAUUUCCUACUCACAUGCAAGAUCAUGGUGAUGCAUAGCAACAAGAGGGGAGAGUGUUGUCCACGUACCCUCAUAGACCAAAAGCGGAAGCGUUAGCACAACGCGGUUGAUGUAGUCAUACAUCUUCACGAUCCGACCGAUCCAAGUACCAAACAUACGGCACCUCCAAGUUCAGCACACGUUCACCUCGAUGACGUCCUGCGAAGUCCGAUCCAGCAGAGCUUCAUGGGAGAGUUUCGUCAGCACGACAGCAUGAUAACGGUGAUGAUGUUGCUACCGACACAGGGCUUCGCCUAAGCACCACUACGAUAUUACCGAGGUGAAAUAUGGUGGAGGGGGGCACCACACACGGUUGGGAGAGAUCAACAGAUCAACUUGUGUGUCUAGAGGUGCCCCCCUGCCCCCGUAUAUAAAGGAGCAAGGGGGGAGAGGUGGCCGGCCAAGGAGGGCGCGCCAAGGGGGAGUCCUCCUCCCACCGGGAGCAGGACUCCUCAUUUCCUUGUUGGAGUAGGAGAAGGGAAGGAAGGGAGAGAGGAGGAGAAGGAAAAAGGGGGGCGCCACCUCCCCCCUCCUUGUCCAAUUCAGACUAGAGGGGGAGGGCAUGCGCGGAUGCCCUGGCCGCCCCUCCUCUUCUCCCACUAAGGCCCAUUAGGCCCAAUAUACUCCCCGGGGGUUCUGGUAACCCCCCGGUAGUCCAGUAAAUGUCUAAAAUCUCCCGAAACACUUCCGGUGUCCGAACAUAGUCAUCCAAUAUAUCGAUCUUUAUGUCUUGACCAUUUCGAGACUCCUCGUCAUGUCCGUGAUCAUAUUCGGGACUCCGAAGUACCUUCGGUACAUCAAAACACAAAAAACUCAUAAUACUGAUCGUCACCAAACUUUAAGUGUGCGGACCCUACGGGUUCGAGAACUAUGUAGACAUGACCGAGACACAUCUCCGAUCAAUAACCAAUAGCGGAACCUGGAUGCUCAUAUUGGUUCCCACAUAUUCUACGAAUAUCUUUAUCGGUCAAACCGCAUAACAACAUACGUUGUUCCCUUUGUCAUCAGUAUGUUACUUGCCCGAGAUUCGAUCGUCGGUAUCUCAAUACCUAGUUCAAUCUCGUUAUCGGCAAGUCUCUUUACUCGUUAUGUAAUGCAUCAUCCCGCGACUAACUCAUUAGUCACAUUGCUUGCAAGGCUUAUAGUGAUGUGCAUUACCGAGAGGGCCCAGAGAUACCUCUCCGACAAUCGGAGUGACAAAUCCUAAUCUCGAAAUACGCCAACUCAACAAGUACCUUCGGAGACACCUGUAGAGCACCUUUAUAAUCACCCAGUUACGUUGUGACGUUUGGUAGCACACAAAGUGUUCCUCCGGUACACGGGGGUUGCAUAUUCUCAUAGUCAUAGGAACAUGUAUAAGUCAUGAAGAAAGCAAUAGCAACAUACUAAACGAUCAAGUGCUAAGCUAACAGAAUGGGUCAAGUCAAUCACAUCAUUCUCCUAAUGAUGUGAUCUCGUUAAUCAAAUGACAACUCAUGUCUAUGGUUAGGAAACUUAACCAUCUUUGAUUAACAAGCUAGUCAAGUAGAGGCAUACUAGUGACACUAGGUUUGUCUAUGUAUUCACACAUGCAUUAUAUUUCCGGUUAAUACAAUUCUAGCAUGAAUAAUAAACAUUUCUCAUGAUAUGAGGAAAUAAAUAAUAACUUUAUUAUUGCCUCUAGGGCAUAUUUCCUUCACCCACAUAUUCACCAUACCAAUACACCACUAUGGAACCACUCCCGUCUCCCUACGAGAAGGCCAUCCAUAGCACUUAAACUUAUCUCCUGACGGUGCUCCAUCCCGCAGCCCCAUGGAGCAGCUACCUCGAAGCUGGCACCACGGGCGACAUCUCCACGGCAGCUCUCCCCCAGUGCGAGGUCCCUUUGGCGGCGGCAUCCACACCAGCCGGAUCUGUUGCUACUGCUCUGGCUCUCGCUCGCUCGCUCGCGCUGCUGCUGCUGCUUCGGAUCUUGCUUGCUCGCUCAUGCUGCUGCUGCUGUUCUGCUACUCCGGCUCUCGCUCGCUCGCUCGCGAUGCUCCUGCUGCUCUCCCCCUUGCUCGUGCUGCUGCUCUGCUUCGAUUUAGCUACACUUCAGUCGACUGAAUCAACUUUUGGGCGAGUCAAUUUUCAGGGGGUGGGGAGGGGNNNNNNNNNNNNNNNNNNNNNNNNNNNNNNNNNNNNNNNNNNNNNNNNNNNNNNNNNNNNNNNNNNNNNNNNNNNNNNNNNNNNNNNNNNNNNNNNNNNNNNNNNNNNNNNNNNNNNNNNNNNNNNNNNNNNNNNNNNNNNNNNNNNNNNNNNNNNNNNNNNNNNNNNNNNNNNNNNNNNNNNNNNNNNNNNNNNNNNNNNNNNNNNNNNNNNNNNNNNNNNNNNNNNNNNNNNNNNNNNNNNNNNNNNNNNNNNNNNNNNNNNNNNNNNNNNNNNNNNNNNNNNNNNNNNNNNNNNNNNNNNNNNNNNNNNNNNNNNNNNNNNNNNNNNNNNNNNNNNNNNNNNNNNNNNNNNNNNNNNNNNNNNNNNNNNNNNNNNNNNNNCCAUAGCGGGGAGGUAGGCUCGCCAGAGAGGUACCCCACUAUCUAUCUUAGGGUUCAGGGUGGGGGCAGUGGUCGCCGACGGUGGGGGCAGUGGUGUGGCGGUGGCGUGGGGAUCGCUAGAGAAAAAGCUCGGCGCGGGGAGGGGGGGAGGGGGGGCUAGAGGGCUGGCCGGGGCUGCGAGGCGGCGGCGGACCAGCGGUCGGUAGUUGUUUCGAGGCGGCGAGGCGGCGCAGGGGCCGGCGGUUCGGCCGGUGGUGGCCGGCGGGUCAGGGUGAUGUGGGUUGAAGAUGAACUAUAGGCCCUCCCUAAACUACAUGUCAAGUGCCUCUCUGCUACCAUUGCAUUCAGUUUCGACAGUAACAUUCAGAUUCCACAGUAAAUUUCAGUUUCGACAGUUAAGUUCAGAGUCAACAGUUUUUACCUCAUUUGUUGUGGUCAGGUGGUUUUUGGUGAUGUAAAUUUCACAUCUAUUUUACAUCAUCUAUUGGAGAUGCUAUUAGAAUCCCACUUGAGAUUAACAAUGUCUGUCUUGUGUUGCUUCAGCCUUGACGUCUUACGGCUCACCGGAGCUGCUCCAACGACAGAACGAUCCAUCACAACAGAGCAGUGCCCUGGACGCCGUCUACAUAUUCCUCAGAUCUUCCUCCACACCUCCAACGGCCACCUCUCCCUCAACUUCUUCAGCGACCAAACCAAUGAUGCUGAGGUCGACACGGCUACGGCAAAGGGGUUGUACACUUGUUGCAUCACUUAUUACUCUACAUUCAUGUCGAUCCAUUAGGGCUAUUUUGGUUCAAUGGAAAAAGAUAGCAAUAGGAAAUUUUCCUAUAGCAAUCUACUAUUCAAUUAUUCAUGCAUUUUGUUGAAAGGAAUGGAGCAAAACAUCCACUUGGACCUAGUUUUCAAAAUCCUAUGCAUGAAAACAAGACCAAGUGCAUUAGUGGCAGAAUAACAUUCUAACUGUACACGCUUUCAUAUGGUUUCACUUUAUUUUGGCCAUGUUUCUUUGCAUUCCUCUGCUCUUCCAGUUUCUGUGAACCAAACACCCAAGUUGACAGAAAUCGUGUGUUUACAAAUGCUCUAUUUACCAUGUGCAUUCCUAUCCUAUUCUGGUGUUUUCCCUAUCCCUGCGUUUUUACAAUCAUGCAAGCCAAAUGAGCCCUUACCGAAUUACUUCAGUUAAAGGUAGGUGUCGAAGGGAACUUUGUGUGGUUUGUGCUGCUCCUGCCGUGAUGUCGUCCACCUCACCUGAGCUGCUCCAUUGACAGAAGCAUCCACCAAACCAUACAUCACGACUCCUGACCAUCUUUCGCCGCCUCAGAUCUCCUUCCCUGCCGCCGGCACCCACCGUAACAGAAUCACCAUCAUCAACUCAGCAUAUGAACCUGAGGAGUACACGGGUCCACAAGAGAGGUCGCACUCUUUUGUUUCUGCCUAUGUUAUGCAUUGCUUAAAAUUACCGGCUACUUUAUCAUCCUGUUCACCUCUUAGACUCCAAGUCAGGUCCAAAUUAAUGUUCAAACUUGAGUUCUAAAUUAGUUGUGGGGCACAUAUUGAGGCAACAAUGAAUAGUAUCUCUGUCUAAUAUCUCGUUCACCUAGGGUAUGCCUAUGUUGUUCAUCUUGGGUGGGAAACAAAUAGUAAAGAAAUCAUCAUCUGUCUUUUUAUUAAAUUAAAGCAAUCAUCAGCCUGCUAUCAUUAUUUUUGAAUCCAUCCAGUAGUUGUUACCAUCACUCUAAAUUUCUGCAUGCUCUCCUUACAUAAUCUCACCAUAUUUUUUUCGUAUGCAUGUCAGAUAUUGUACACAGUCAUGCUAAACAUGUAGAGAAAAAGAGAAGAGUUUUGCGCGGCAAUACAAUGUCAUGCAGACAUCGCUCCAUGGUGGGUUCAAUGGCAAACCCUCCCCCCUCUCCAGAUUGUAAUCUAGAGGAAGAUAUCUGUUCUGAGGUGGAAUCAGACGCAGCCGACCACUCCUAUUUACCCCCCAAGGUGUUUUCUCUACCUUGGCAUGAUGAUGUUAGUCAUAUCAUGCAUAUGUUGCCUUGCAGUGCCUACUUUUGACAUCAUAUAUGUCAUCUGCUUAGUUUAGACAUGUUCUGUAAUGCCAUCUAUUUAGUUUCUGUAUCAUAUAUGGGAAUUAUGUUGUCUCAUGUCUUUUAGCCAGCCAUAAUAUAUGUGAAAUGUGCAAUGCCAUCCUAUUUAACUAGGCAUCAUAUAUUUGAAUGAUGUCUUGCCCAUCAUUCUCUUCAUUAAAUUUCCAUUUGUCAAUAAUGUUUGUACAUUAAACUACUCUUUCUGUGAAUCGGCAUUUGGGUGGGAGAUGGAAAAAUCUGGAGUGAAAACGAGGCCUUCAGAGCAGACAGUACUACCUGUCGAAGCAGAUCUCUUGUUGAGUCCCAAUAGAUCCUCAGAGAUGGAUUCAAAGACAGAUGACCAGUCCUAUUCCCCCACCGAGGUGUAUGCUCUAACUUGACACGGUUAUACUGCUCAUAUCAUGCAUAUGGUGUCCUGCAUUGCAUAGAUUAGACAUCAUAUACACAAUAUUCAACACCAUGUUCUUAGUUCAGACAUCAUAUCUAAUGCCCUCUGUUUAGCAUAUAAAUCACAUAUGUGAAUUAAAUCAUGUGAUCCUGAUUACUUAGAUAACAUGUAUGUGAAUUAUGUCAUGCGACCUUGUUUAGUUAUUCAUCAUAUCUUUGAAUUAUGUUAUGCUAUGCUAUCCAGUUUAGAUAGACAUCAUAUAUGUGAAAUUAUGUCAUGCUAUCCGUUUUAGUUAAACAAUAUACAUGUCAACUAUUUCAUGCCCUCUUUUUUCCACACUAUCUAUUGCAUCUCUCUCUCAUACAAUGUCUGUACAUUCAACUAUGUUUCCUAUUUAUCAGCCAUUUGAAUUGGAGCGGGUGAUGCCAGUAUCUAGCGGAGUUAUAACAUGGUCUUCAAAUCAAACUGUGCUAGCUCUUGGUGGAGAUAGCACCCCGGUUGUACAUGCACGAGAACCAACCCUACCACACAUAACCCAGACUCUCGCAGAUUGUACCCCUACUGCGAUGGACAGAGAACCAGCUUCACCCAAUCUAACCCCAACCCCAGCAGAUAGUAACCCAGUUCCUGUUGACACAACACCAUCUCCACCAUAGAGCUCCCAAACAAGAGCAGUUAGUAAGGCAGCUCCAGUGCCGAAAGGGCCAGUACUACCAUGGCAAACCCCAACUCCACCAGUUAGUAUGCCUAUUCCUGUGGAGGAAGCACAACCAGCCAGUCAUAGUUUAGCAUCUAUCGCAUUUGAUGUUGUUAAAUCCUAUGUGCGUAUCUUCCCAUCUUGGAAAUAUUAUACUGAAGAUGAAGGAAAAUGCCAGUUGCAGGUGUUUGUCCAGGAGUUAUAUGUAAGUAAUGUUAUUCAUGGCAAUUACUUUGCUUUGUCCCAUACUACCUCCAUGAUGGUUAUAAUACAACAAAUUUUCCCAUUUUUCUCUAUAGAGAAGGACCGAUUUGGAAACUCAGGAUGAGGUGACCUGUGCUAAUAGCUUUGCUAUCUUCAAGAAUGCUUGGUGGCAGUAUCAGAAUUACCUGAAGAAAACGUACUUCACCGGCAAAGAAACUCAUCAAAUUCCCAUACGUUCUCCUGAGACACAUUUACUGGACGACGACUGAGAACGCCUUGUUUUGUACUGGUCCCGAACCAAGAAUGUGGUCUGGUCUAUGCGCUCAUUUUCUAUUUUUAAGUAAUAUAUUCUUGCAUCUUGUUGUACUCUGUUCAUGUAGAACAAGUGCUUAAACCUGAAGAACAACUGUUCUAAUUUAAGAUUCCAUUGCUAUCGUGCAUACUUCUUUGCUCUUGUAUCACUGUAUUUACUCAUACAAACUUAUAUUUAAAUUGAAGGAUCCAAUCGAAACUCCAAUGGCAUAGCAGGUAUGUUCAUGCAUGUUUGUUUAUCAGGUUUGCUCUUAUCAAUAGCUUUGUUGAUUUUGAAUUUCAAUUGAGUAUAUAGUUGACUUCUCAUAUCAUGCACAUUACUAGCAUCACAACAGAGCAGAUAGUGUUGUUGUACAUGUAGACCCGUGUUACCCAACUCAAAUCUUGUUGUGCCAUGUAGUUUCCCACACUUUGUAUUCUUUCACUAUUGCUUUGUCUUGAACUGAUAUGAUUUGAACCGUGUCUCUAUUUUCAUUUGGCAAGACAAUGCAGUGACCAUAGGACAUAGAUAUAUGUUUGUUUGAUGCUUUUAUUAUGUACUAGUACUUGGUAAUAGAAGACUUGGUAGUUUAAUCCUGUCCACCUUACUAAUGAACUGGUGCACCAAAAUGAGUUUCAUAUACUAGUACAUGAUAAACCUAUUAUGUGUCUGCUUGUUUCUUCUUUUAGAAUGUUGACAGAAUAUUGGGGAAGAGUGCCUUAUUAAGUAAUGGUAGAGGAAGUAAUGCAGAUAAGGUUCAGGAUAGUGAGACAUCCUUGUUGGUCUCCAAAAAAGCUGAUAAAACAGCUAAGAAAGAUUAUCUUGAAGACAGUGAGACAACCCCAAAGUCCUGUCUUGGUUUAGUGUUCGAGUUACUGGCCACUACUGCUUGCACAAGCUAUUCAAACUCACUGUCUGAAUCAGUUCGGUUUCUUGAGUCUCAACUACAAGCUGAAAGACAUCGAUCAGCUGUGCUGCGACAUGAAGCGGAAGGACUGCGGAAGUCCCUGGAGCAUUCAGAUGCAUACUUUCUGGUGCAACAGCAAGCGUUGGAGGAUUUUAGCGCCAAACAGGGCAAAGCUAAUAAACUUGCUAAGCUUAUUGCCAGCAUGAUGGAUACCCAAGAUAAUGUUUCUUGAACUCUUCUGAAGUUGUUUCAGUUAUGCUCUUGUUUUGCUGUCGCAUUUAUUUGCACUGGUGGCCAAUUUUUAUAGCCAGUGUAUGUAAUAUGCUGCUUUGUUCCCUAUAUUUGCACUGGUGGCGAACUUUGAUGCCCAGUGGAUGUAAUAUGUGUAAUAGCGGUAAUAGGCUAGCAUUAGUUGCUUGCUUAUUUAUUUCCUUAUUGUCUUGUUUAGUUGUUUACUUGUAGUCACUGCAGUUCUUUUUCCGCAUUUUUCUAGUGGCCACAAUAACCUAUUUUUGGUAACUAGGCCACAAUAAUCAUGGCAACACACGGACUGUUGUAUCCAUGGGCCUCCUGCAGGCCAUAUGAUCCAUGGGCCUUCUACGGGCCAUAGGAUCCAUGGGCCUUCUACGGGCCAUAGGAUCCAUGGGCCUUCUACGGGACGUAGGAUCCAUGGACUUUCUACGGGCUAUAUGAUCCAUGGGCCUUCUACGGGCUGUAGGAUCCAUUGAUCUUCUACGGGCUGUAGGAUCCAAGGGCCUUCUACGGGGCGUAUAAUCAUUUCGCCAAUCAUGGGUCGUACUAUUCAUGGACCAUAAUGGGUCGUUAAUAGGCCGUAUUUGAUAACUCUAUGAAAAUAGCCCAAUGGUUUUUUUUGACAUGAAAACAGCCCAACGGGUUAACGGGCCACAAACAAGCCAAAUGUAACCACGGGCUGAAUUUGGCCCACAAACGGAACAGGCCAGUAACGGACCGUAACUAACCGAAUUCUAGAAAUUAGCCCAAGAAUAAAUGGGCCCUUAGAAGUCCGAAAGUUAACACGGGCUGGAAACGGCGGACGGAAUAAUGGGUCGUUAAUGGGUAUAAAGCGAUACACUGUUCAUUAUAGGCCAGUUUCAUCUCGGGCAUUUAAUGGGACCAGAGUUACGAAGGGCCUCAUAUGGUCCGAAAGACAUCAUGGGCCAUACAUGGGCCGGAAGUUACAACGGGCUGCAAUCAUAUUGGACGACCCAUAUGAAGCUACUCGGCUUUAUUCCGAUGGGCCAUAACGGGCCGUAAAUGCGCGAUAUACGAAUAGGCCAUUAACAGGCUUUCCGUGGGCCAGCCCGUUACCUUUUGAACAAGUCAAACGGGCCGGCCUUUUCACCGGAAUGGGCUUCUGUUGGGCCGUGCCACAUGUCGACAUAUCAUAGGCGCCUCCUGUCCAAUGAGUGGAUGACAUCUGUCCCAACGGUGAGCCAACGCGUGUUUCCUCCAUCCAAUGAGAAUUUUACACAUGGAAAAUCCUCAUUGGUCUGGGCUUUAACGGGUUAUCGGAUCCAAAACCGUACCUGAUAGCUUAACGGCGAGCCGUUACGAUGGAUGCCACAUGUCGGUCACCCUUGACGAAAGCACUUCUAUGACGCGUGAUUUAUCAUCAUGGAAGUGGACACUUCCGUGGUGAUAAUUUUUGUAAUGUCAUGGAACACUUCUAUGACAACACAGGUAUGACUAUCUUGAUUCUGUCAUAAAAUCGUCAUGGAUGUACAUGCAUGACAGAAAACGUGACCUACUAUGACAAACAUGUAUCAUCACGGAAGUGUAUUUUUUGUAGUGAUAGGGGUUGAUGCACAUUUUUGUUCUACUUUCUUCGGUAGAAAUCUUGGGGCACUCUUUGAAGUUCUUUGUGUUGGUUUGAAUAUUAUGAAUCUGAGGUUGUUUGAUGCAUAUCAAAUAAUAAACUCACGGAUACUUGUGGUGAUAUUGGAGUAUCUAGGUGACAUUAGAGUUUGUUGAUGCGUAUCAUAUGGUGUUAUUUUAGUACGAACUCUAGGGUUGUUUGUGACACUUAUAGGAAUAGCUCAAUAGAUUGAUCAGAAAGGAUAACUUUGAGGUGGUUUCCUACCCUACAAUAAUUUCAUCUUAUGUUCUCACUAGAGAAGAACUUUGGAGUGAUUCUUUGUCGUGUUGAGGGAUUGUUAUAUGAUUCAAUUAUGUUAGCAUUGUUGAGAGAUUGCACUAGCGAAAGUGUGAACCCUAUGCCUUGUUUCUAAGCAUUGAAUACCAUUAAUACUCCAUUUUAUCACUUUCUACCUUGUUUUUUUAUAUUUUCAUAUUACAAAACCUAUAUCUACUAUCCAUAGUACACUUCUAUCAUCAUCUCUUUGCCGAACUAGUGCACCUAUACAAUUUGCCAUUGUAUUGGGUGUGUUGGGGACACAAGAAUUUCUGUAUUUGGAUGCAUGGUUGUUUGAGAGAGACCAUCUUCAUCCUAAGCCUCCCACAGAUUGAUAAACCUUAGGUCAUCCACUUGAGGGAAAAUUGCUACUGUCCUACAAAACUCUGCGUUUGGAGGCCAACACGAGUCGACAAGAGUAAGUUGUGUAGUAGAAAUCAUGGCCACAUACCCAACCCCCAUGUAUGGAGGAUUUAGUGCCUUGCGACUGUAACCCAGUGAUUAAAGAAUAAAACUCUCUUUAACCCCACAAAAAAAAUAACAACAUGCUGAAAUAGACAAAGAUAAAGUUGAAGAGGAGACUCCAUACGGUAAGAUCCAAGGUAAGAAAAAUAAAGUAGCAAAUAAAUAUGGUAAAUAAAGAUAACCUUUGAUUCACAAAUACAUGCCUUAGGAGAAUGAUUGUAAUAAAACUAAAGACUAUGAAAUAUUUGCAAAUUUCUUGAAUUCAAAACUAUGUGCUUGCAAAUCCCAUAGAAUUAUGCUCUAAAACGUACACCUUAUUACAAAUAUAUGAAUCACAUUGUCACAAAUAAAAUAAAGAUACCUACUAACAAAAUAUCCACCACACUUCUAAUUGUUAUUGUUAAUUGAUGUAAUCGAUGUGAAAAAACCUCUACAAGCUGAUUAUAAUUGUAGAUUAUUCACUAAUGUAUAAUCAUGCUAACUACUAUAUGACCCUAGAACAUCUGAAAAUAGUUCCUACAUAAUUCAUUGAUUAUCUUCCAGCCAAGCACCUCUAAACUCAAGAACUGUGUCAUCUGGGCUUUACCUAUUUAAAAGUGUCCCUCUUUUCAAGAGUGAAUUUUUCCCUUGUGCAAAUCUACUAAUGAGAACCACCAUACAUUCACAUCUUCAUUUGAAUCACAAUUCACUAUUCCUGAAUUAAGAGAAUGGGAGAAAGAUUUCUCUAUGUAAAUUCAAAGCAAAACAAACGGGCAUUGACGAAGAAAUAAAUGAACAACAUUUACAGAGCAAAUAAAUAGGUUUGACCAACGAAAUGGAGCAUUGUGUAAUGAAGAGGUCCUUAUCUUGUUUGAUUAUGAACGAAAUAAAUGGCAUUUAGUUCUCCCCAUCUACAUCUCUAUAUAAAUAACCCCUUGGAGGCGAUACAACCAAAGCGCACACUCCUAUCCUCCUCUAUCGACUCAACAUUCAGGUAAACAUUCCUUAAUUCUAUGUGUUCUUCAUCUUGCAUUAUGAAAAGUGAUCUAUGUAAGCAUUGAUAUUUUUCUUCCUACUAAUUUGUAGGUUGGACCACUUGCCAGUAGCAGUAGCUGAGGGUGAUAGGUUUGAGAUGGAAAACAUUCAGGAUGAAAGCACCGGCUCGUCAUCUCCUAGUUCAUGUGUAUCAUCCGAUAUCAGCCCCGUCAAGAUGAUGCAUGGGGGUGCCCACGAUGCUAUAUGCAUGUUUUCGUGCGUAGGGAGGACUUACCUAUGUGCAUCAUUUGCAAGCAACCCACCCUCCUCAACUUGAAAACUAUGCUCGCCAACAUGCAGCAUGCCAGGCGCCAGUAAACAAUAGUAGGGCAAUGAUGUCAUGCUUAGUUAAGUUCCAUUAUUAUCGUGUAUCUGUAUGCGUCAGUGUACAAUGCUUAUUUCUUGUCAUAAUGCUCAUGUUUUCAUAUGUAAACAUACUAAUUAAGGAAAUAAUGGAAAUAAUUGGCACUUGC